CCGUUUGAAGUUAAGAUGUCAAUUUGAGACCUACUAUUACUCUUUUGAGUUUAAGAGGAGUCUUACGGAAGCUUUUGGAGAUCGAAAGGUGCGGCUAAAAGGGCAACUUCAAGACAUACAUCUUUUGCGAAGGAAAUUUUGCAUUUGGAGUUUAUGUAAAGGAGUUAUAGGGAGUUAAAGACAACGCAUUCAAAUCAAAGGCAGUAAGUGAGUGGUUUUGUUCAAAGUAGUGUUAGGAGCCAUAACUUGAGUUUUCGAACGAAAUUUUGGCUCAAACUUUGAAAAAAUGUAAACAUUUGUGUUAAAAAGCUAUCUAUAUAAGUUUCGUGGCAUUUGGACUUAUGGUUUGUGAGAUAUGAAGAAAAUUGUGUGUGGGUAUAUAAAGAUUAGGGUUUGAAGCGAUUGUUUGGGUUUUGAAGAUAUAUCAAAAUCCACGACGAAUUUGCGGUUGAAAUUUGUUGUACAAAUUAAUAACAACAUAUCAGUACUUCAAGUAAAUUUUGAUCUUGUUUGGACGGUGGAUCAAGAGUCAUGAGGUGUUGAGGUUUGGGAGAAUUUCCACAUAAAGAUACAUAAGGUUUUAGAAUACUUCUACCAUAUUUUGGGUGUUGUUAGUUAUUUAAGACUUAAGUAUUUGGUAUAAUUGUCCCAAAAAGAGAACUUAUAUAUAUAAAAUUAGGGUUUCCUUAUUUUAAGCUUGAUUGAGCAAUUAGUGACAGCCAGAAGUGCAGCGCUUUCUUGAGGCAAAACCUCUCUAUCCCGACAGCGUGGACUAGGAGCUUGUCUUUAGGUGGGUGCUAAUCUAAUAGUUCUCUUGUUCUUUCCAUUAAGAUUGUAGGAGGUGCGGCUACAAUAUUUUCUAUCUUUAAAGAUUUUUUUUAACUAAUGCAAUGCAAGACUAACAAUGCCAUUUCUUUUUCCUUUUUUUGAUUGAUGACUAGGUUCUCUUAUAUAAGGAAUUCUAAGAAUUGUGGAGUAAUAUACUCAUUGAUUUCUUAUUCAAUAUUUUAUUAUUUUUUUAAAAGAAAAAAAUCCUUGUGGCAAUGGAAUUUGGUAUCAAAGAUUUAGUAGCAGCAGUGCAGAUUCGCCACAAUCCUUAUUGAAUUCCAAAGUGAUGACAAUUGCCUUUGCUCUAAAGCCAUAGUAGUAUUGACCAGGAGUUGUUUUCCUUACUAGCAACAGUAUUGGUCUUGCGAUGUUUUCUAGUAUUCUCUGGUGGUGCUUCUUCUUUAUAACAUAUGGUGGUAUUGUAGUUGCAGUCAGCGUCAUCUUCUCCACUUGAUAGUUCUAGUUUGCAAGCUCAUUAAAUGUUGAAUGUUGAGUCAAAGAUUAUAGUGGUGGCAAUGCCAAUGGCAAUGUCUAGAUUUGAUGCCAUUCAGAUGAAAUUGUGUGGAACUAAGGUAUAGUUCCCAUGGUUGUAAGAAGGUUAUUUUUGUCCUAGCUCCCUUUUUUUGUGUCGAAUAUGAGUUGUGCUCUAUUUUUUUUGGUUUGAACCAAAUCUUAGAAUUGGAAAUUCCAACUUUAAUUUGAGAACCAUUUGAUAUUUGGUGAUAGAAGCAGGGGAUCAUAUAAAGAAAAUUUGUUUUGGAAAUUCAAAGAAUACAAUUUCUAUUUUAGAGGCUAGAUGACAAUUAUGUCAUUUAAAUGAUAGGAGUAUUUUUUUUUAAUUGAUAUUGCUAAUUAGUUGUACAAGUCUAGACUAGAAUUGAAUCAUUGCAUGUUGUGGAAUAAAUUGCGAUGAUCUGCUAUUAAAGAGCUCUAGUGAGUCGGUGCACAGUAGCAUUAAGAUUUCUACCCUUCUUAAUAGUAUGAUCCAAUUGAGAAGGGAGUCAAUUUGGCCAAUUGCUAACUUGACUUCGAGUAGUUGGAGUACAAAGAUUUGAUUGCAAGGUCAUUGACAAGGAUGAAUACGUAAUAAUUAUAAGGCUUUGGAAAUCAAGGGAGGCUGCUCGAAUUGUAUAACACAUUAAAUCUAAUUUUAGAGAAAUCAAGCUUCCAACUAGAUAAACAAACAACCAACACUUCCAACAAGCCACUUUCUUCCAAAAACCUUCAAGGUCACAAAUUUGGAAUGAAAUUCAAAUUGGAUUCAAUUUUUAAAAUAUAAUUUAGGAAGAGAACAAAGUUAAGUUAGGUUUAAAAGAGGUUAGGUUAGAAUGCAAUUAAAUUAAGAUUUGGUAUGAAGUAUUGGAUGUUGGGUGAUAAUUCUAAUCAAAGAUGAAAUUCUAGAAUAGAUGAGAAGUUAUUUAUAGAUGAAAAGUUAUUUAUAGAUGAUAUAUAAUACUUGAAUGAAUUUUUGUAUGGAUAGAUGGAAAUUAAUAAAAAAUAAAAUAAAAUAAAAUAAAAUAAAAUAUUUAUUAAUCAAUUUAGAUUAGAUUAGAUUAAUUAAUUAAGAAUUAAGAAACAAAAUUCUAUAUACAUGUAUGUGGUGAGUAGAUUAUUAAUAUAAGUAAAAAUUAAUAAUAGAUAUUUUGCUUAAUAAUAUGGUUUUUAAAGAAGAUUUAAGGAUUAUUUAAUUAUGGAUUAAAUAAGAAUCAUAAUAUCUAUAAUUUACAUAGUUAAUUCACUUGUUGUGAACUAGAAUAAACUUCCAACUAGUGCAGGUUUAUUUUAGCUCACACCUUAAGACCUUGGUCUUAUCUUCUAAUUUACAUCUAAGAUACCAAAAUCCAUAUGGAACUUGUGCAACUUCCUUCCUAUAAGGACUACACUAGCUAUUAAUCUUCAUAUUAUAUAUAUAUAUAUAUAUAUAUAUUUCUAAAUUUGACUUUACCAUGAUGUUCAAAAACACCAAAUUGGCCUAAGGAACUUACAAGACAUUCAAAUCUUUCUCUUUUUCUUCAUAAUAGCUUCCAAGGUGGUAAAAUUUAAUUUUAUCAAAGUCUUAAAAUUUUCUCUAAAAAUUCUUUAAUAAUUAUAAAUAAAUUUUAAAUAAAUUCUUAAAAAAUCAUAAUAUUUUUAUAAUUAUAUUAUUUUCUUACAACUACAUAAAAUAAAUUUAAAUCAACUAAAAAUCUUAUUUUUUAUAUAAAUAACAUAAAAAUCAUGAAGUUCUUUUUCUUGCUCUUUAUUACUUAACUUAAAAUUUAGGCCUUUUUUUAUAAGUAUUACAUGUAAAUAAAAGGUCAAUAUAAAAAUUGAUAUUAAUAACUAAAUAUUAAUAUUAAACAAUAAACAAAAGUACUAAAAUAACUAUGAUAAUUGCUUCCAAGACUUACUAAGAUUUCAUUUCUUUUAACAAGAUUAUUAUACUCUAUAAACAUUUCUAAAUUCUAAUAAAUACUUAAAUAAUAAUUAAUAUUCUUUAAUUCUAAUAUUUUUAUAUUUGAAUAAUUUAGAACUAUAUUUUUAACAUCUCCAUAAAUUAAAUUCUACUAGUAAGACCUACAAAAUCAUUAACGUUUUGAUAGACAGCAAAACAAAAGCAAUGCUAAAUUAAUUCACAAUGUUAUUUAAUACAAGGUACUUUGAUAGUGAGAGUGUCUAAAUGACUUAUAUUACCUUAUUUUUUAUGAAAAUAUAUUUUUAUAAUAUUGUCCUUUCAAACAUGGUGUCUUAUUUUGUAUCAAAAUAUCUUGUUGUGUCCAAUGAGAUAGGUUUUUGCUAGUACAUGCAUUUUAAUGUUUACUUUGGAUUUGAGUAUUUAAAAAAUAAUAAAUUUAAAAAAUUUAUGUUUGUGGAUUGUCGCCAUUUUUAGAUUUCCAUUUGCAUGCACGUUCCAUGCUACACUAAAAUAUGGCCAGGCAGAAUUUAUAGCUUUUUGACAUUUUUUUUAAAACAUAAAUUCUUCGAUUAAUUACAGUGGGAAUUUUUGAAGGUAUCAUUAUUUUUAUCAUAAUUAUUUUAAAAUUUAACAACUUCUGAUGUACCGUGUGGUUGAAACCGUCACACUACCAGCUCACGAAGAAUAAUACAUAUAUUUUUGAAUAAAACAGAUGUAUGAGAAUAGAGAUGAACCUCAUUUUUUGAAACGUUUAGUUAGUAUUUGAAAUAUAGAAAAAGAAAACAGUUGAAUGAAUGAAACAACGUCGAUUUUCCCAGGAGUUCAUCCCCCAGUGCAUCUAGAAGUUCAAGUCGGAAGGGAUCAUGGGAAAGUUUAGGCCAUGACACCCGAUAAAAUAAUACAACAGGGUAUACAUUACUUUCCGGAUAUAAAUAGCAGCCAAAUGUGGAUGGGCGGAGGUGGGGAGCAUCGAUGCCAAGCCACAGAAUGCCGCCCGCACCAGAAUUAAGACAGGCCCAGACAGAACGGGCAGGCUGGCAGCCGGCCACACCCACCCAAUCUGCCAAGCCCGCGACCGCCGUCUCCCACGCAGCACCGCUACUUCCAGCUCAGGAGGGCCUCGAGGAGGCCCAAUUUGCGAUGAGCCAUCUGGAUUAAACUCGCACUGCAUGUCCACAAGAAAAUCUUAAUUGAUGAAUGUUCGGCGCCCAUCCCUCCUCCCUUGUCAAGAACGAAUGAAUGAAUGGAUGGCAGCUUGGCCAACCCCCGCUCUUGGGCCCAUGCCCGCUCCCCCCCCCAAAACCCUAAUCUUCAUCUCCCCUUUUUCUCAGUCACCGUCGCGCAUUUCGGCCUCUUUUUGCCUCCCCCCGCUCCUUCCCUUCUUUGCCUCUCAGCAGGUGGCUUGUAUGCCUUCACAGGAUGUAUACCCUCGCCAGUCAGCAUUUCUCGAUCUCUCCGUUUACGUGCUGUCUCUUGCGGAUUCUUACAUUGUAAAGCUGGUAGCUUUCUUUCAGGGUUCGAUCACGCUUUGUCUUCGUCCGACUCGAGUGUUCGGGAGUUGUCACUGGGAGUGCAUCUAGGUCUUGGAACUGGGGGUUUGUCCAAGUCAGUGGCUGACGUUCAGGGAGAGUUUCCGAGGAUUGGGUUUCAUGUUUCGGUGGUUGGUUGAGAGGAGGCGUUUGAUUGCUUGUGUGACUCUCGGCAGGAGAGCGAACUGAUACAUGUGACAGUGGUCUGGGGUGAAAGCUAGAGAUUCUGCAGUUCGAUGCGAGUGCAUUCUGUGGCCUAAGCGAGAUCUCCUGGUGUGGAUUUUAUUCUAGGGUUACGUGGUCUUGGUGGAUAGGGUGCACCGGGAAGUGGCAUUCGUAUUAGAUUUCAGGAUGGAAUGCAUUGCAUAGAACUUACGUGUUACGGUAACACGUUUCCCCAUUCUCUCCCAGAUUAAAGAGAACAAAGUUAAAGCGAUGGCUACUGUUUCUUCUCUACCUCCUGGAUUUGAAGGGACAGUUUGUGGAAUACUCCCCGUUCCACAUGCAACGCAGACAACCGUGCCCAAGCAGGCAAGAGUGAAUAAGAAAGUGUCAUGGGCCUCAGAAGGCGACCUGUGUCAGGUCAUUCCUCAUCCUCCAUCUAACGUUUACCCCCUAUACGAGGUUUUCUUUAUUUUAGUUUGAAAACUUGUACAUCUUCUAUCACUGGAUCUGACCUCAGAAAGUUAAUCGAAAAGUGAAGCCGUAUCAUACUCUUACCAGGUCAAUGUUUAUGAGUGAGGGUUGGGAAUGAAGGACAAACCUUGAAGGUAUUACGUGUUUCGAAAAUUCAUGUUUCAUAUCACCUUUGAGAAGUUGCCCCUAUCUGAAAAUAUCGAAGAAUCAGUGAUAACACUUCACUCAUGUUGGUGUAAAUUACAACACUUGUGGAAUUGUGACUACAAACACAUGUGAUCAGAGGCUAGAAAAUAAUCCAAUAACGCUUCAAUGUCCCGAAAAAACUGUCAAGGCUUGAGAAUUUCAAUCCGAUAUGUGAAAAAUGGCUUUAUUUAUUUUAACAAAAAACUAUCUUUAUUCUUGAACGAACCGUAUACCUGAACUUCAAGGUUCAAGGAUGCAAGGUAUAUCUCUUAGUAAUGAAGGUGAUGCGAGACAGGGUGUUGGUUACGUCUUCCGAGGCUUGUCUGGUUCUGAAGAAUGCGUAUAGAUUACGCCUGUCGUUUACAUGGUUUCUUUAAGCGCGAUGAGCAAUCUACAUGUAGAGCUUUCGGGUUACUCUUCUUCCUUUUGUGCCUGCAUUACUUUCUCGUCUACAUAGAUUUGAUAGAUGUACAUGCGCUCCACUCGUAAGAUCAUGUCGGUGUCGCGGUGUACUUGCUGGAGUGUCUACGUUCUAUCUUUGGCACAGUUUUUUCGGAUAGAUUUUCACUCAGUCAUAUACCCGCUUGUGCAGUUCUUGUUCCUUUUUGUCAAGGGACUUUGAAGAGCAGAAACACAUGCUCGAUAUCCUUGAUUUGAAUAGUUUUUCUCUCGGCCGUUUUGGUCCAGUUCUCGAACUUAGAUAUUUUGUUAGAUUUUUAAUUAGAUCGUCAACCGUCAUUGAAUUUUUCAGUGUAAGUAUGUGAUCAUUAUCGAAAGGUGUGUGUACUAUCUGAGAAACUUAUAUAAAGUAUUCCAAUCGACAGAGCACUACAUGGAGAGCCGGUUUGGUGAUUGUUGAUAGGCAAACCUAAUCGUGACCAAAUUUAUGUGAUCUAGAAACUAAUUGUGGAAGAACUUGUGGACUCUAGUCUAUUGCAAUAACGCGAACUUGGGAGACAAAAAGCUACCCGUCAUUUGGAAGGCAUACAUGCAAUUCCUACAUGGAUAGCAUCUCUUAAGGUCAAGGGAUGUUAAUGCUUACGUCAGAGUCUUUUGCGACCUCUGUAACUUGUUGCGAAGGUUUCAACAUUACAUGACUCGUUGUCGAAGCGGAAGAGCUGAAUCAGCUUCUUGUAGAUGUCCAUGCUGGCCUAGUUAUUUAUAUCGUCAUUAAAACUAGUUCUACGUUUUAUCUGCGAAAUGCAGCAAGAAUCUCAACUCUUGGUGCGUCGAAAGUAAAUUGAAGUACUAAUGUCGCGAUUUAAGCAUUAAUUCUUCAUUUGUUUUACUGGUGCUCGGAGUAUUGGUACUCACUCGCAUGAAACUUUGGGAAUGUGGGUAGUCGAGAUGACGACGAAUACCUUAGUGUUUCUGAAGUCGCUGAGCUUCAACCAGUGUCGAAAUAAACAUUUUUGCAUUCAUAACUUUCACUUUUUCUCAUAAAUUACUGCACAUAGGCGAAUAACUUACCGCUCUCUACAGGGCAUGCAAUCUGAUAUAUGCACAAUCAUGUGAUGUAGGUGCGGCUCUUUGCAGCAGAAGAUGCACCAGCUCAAUCGAGUAUCAUGCUUCAGGACCUUCUCCAGGCCAAAAAAGCGAGAUUCAUGCAUGCCUUGAAUCCUAUAGUUUCCGUAGAUUUACCUCCAGGAUUUGGGCCCUCCUCCCUGAUGGGAGUAAAGCCACUUGUGGCACCAAUCUUGCCAUCUGUGUCAUGGCGGAUUCCUGAAUGUGUAAGUUCCUAUGUUCAAUACUUAGACUUUUCUGAAUACUCUGAAGCCUUUAGUUUUAGGUGGCGUCACACUGGCAUCUUCUUUUUGAGUAUGUGCAGAUGAUCCUGAAUCUAACAGGAGACCAGUGUUUACCCCGCCAGAACUCAUAUUUGCUCUCCCAGCGAUCGCUGUCACAACGAAAAUCUGACUUUUUAUUUUUUAAUUAAUUCUCUCUUCUAGUAUAGCUUGUUCGAGGCUGCUGUCUAUGGCUCAAGUGCUGGGAACUAUAAUCUUACGACGAAGUUUACUGUCGUAUGCCCUAGCUUUAUUCGAUAUACAUCGAUAAACAUCUGAUGCUAUAUUUUCGAAUUCUAUACAGUUCAAAUUGGAUCCAACAUGGCUCGUGAUGGCGGGGGAAGAAAGCAAGGAGGUGUUCGCUCAAAAACAGCGAGAAAACAGAACCCUUGAAGCCGUGUAUCCUCGACCCUCAGCUAUUCCUGAAAGGUGUGUUGAUACUCGUGUGGUAUUCUUUUUAUAUGUUGUGUUUCAGGUUAAUUUCAGGUUAUUUAUUUGUAUGAUUUUGGAAUUGAUGAACCGAUUCACUUUCUUUGUCGCUGAGCAGUCCAACAAAAUGAUUGUUGGCAAAUCAGUACAUCUGGUUGCAUAGAACAGCUGCUGACACCUUAAGACUUGUGACCUUCCAGUCCAGCAGAGCCUUCCGAAGUGCAAUUGCCUUUUGAUGAAGAUGAUUCAAAUACACUCAUUAUCCCAGUUGUCCCAUUAGAAGAUGACGAACUACCUGAAGCGGAUGAUCUUCCAACAACUUCAGGAAGCACGUAUAAAUCUAAACAAGAGCCGUUUUCAGGUAAGCUUCCUAUCUUAUUUGUUUAUUUAACUAUUUAUCUAUUUUUGCAGCUUUAGGUAUUCGCAUACAUCAAAAGAAUUACACUCUUUGGUUGCAAGCUAUCAUGUUACCCCUCAACUUAUAAGGGUCGGACGCUGUUUUGAAGGUCGCAGCACUGAUACAGGAUGAUAUUUUGAAGCGUAAUAUCUGUUCUUUAACUGUUGACAAUCUAAUCUGAAACCCAAUGUGCAGGUUUAAAAUCGUUAUCCCCUCCACCAGGGUUUUUGUCAACAAGCAUGCCUGUGAAACCUCGAACUUGGUUUCCUGUAGCUCCCCUAGAGAAUAAUAAUUUGUCACUACCUGCACACACGACACCAGCAUACGGACCACCCGUCACCGUCAAUAGAAACAUAAUACCUCCAAAUGGCACCGUUGUGCAGACGACGAACAUGUCUAACGCUCGUACGGGAUCGUUGGGUCUUCCUGUUCGUGCGGCUGAGGGAGGGACAGAACCAGACGUUCCUGCAGCCGCCGCCGCUGCCUACGCGGCUUUACAGCAGUCUAAUGAUACAACGAUGAUAGAUCGAGAGUUAUUGAUAAAGUUUCUCACAAAUCCUUCAAUGCUACAGAGUCUCUCUGAAAAACUUGCACAGAAUCCUCCGGGAAAUUAUGGAGUCGUUAAUCGGAGAAUCCCAGAAAGUGUAGACCACAGUGGAAUAGGAGCUCGUGGAAAUGGACGAGUUUGGAAUCCUACAGUGACUGAACAUGCUAAGAGUGGACAAAGACACCUUGAAACAGCGGUAGGUAUAACAGAUCCUCACAUGAGACAUGGUUAUGAUAGGCCACCUGGCUUUGGGGCACCUUCAGGUGCCAACGCACUUGGUCAAGCACCUCCUCAACCCGGACAAGGGUACGCACAUCCCGGGCCUCUUACCAUUCAGUCCCUACCACUCCCUAACAUGCCCCCACCCACUUCUGUUGGUUAUGACCAGUCAAUAGUAUCUGGUUCAGGGCGACCUAUCUCACAGCGAGACGAACAAUACUACAAAGACCUCAUUUCACAGCAUGGAAAAAACGAGGAAGAUAUUUGGGGAGCAAUUGGUGUGCCCGAGACUGGAAACAGUUAUCCUGGAGGUGGACGGCCCAGGGCAUCUGGUCUUGAUAGGGAGAAGAGGUUAGGUAGCGCAGAACGAACAGAGAGACCUGAGAGGACUGACUCAAGAGCAAGGUGGGCAGGAAGAGAAGAUGUGGACAUGGCAGGACUUUCAAUUAGGCAAGGUGACGGUGAUCAAGCCAAUCGGUCAGGCCAGUCUCGGGGAAAAUCUCGAAAAGCCUGCAUAUACUUCAGCACAUCCCGAGGUUGUCGGAACGGAUCCAGUUGUGCAUUUUUGCACGAGACUAACAACGCAGAAAGGGCAAAGAGACCGAAACUGGAAGGGAAGGAGAGCAAUAUAGGAUAUAGAUAAAAUUCUCAAACGGAGUUCACAAGCUCUUAACAAAUCACACUAACUGUGCCCAGAAUGACAGACCUAACAUAAAGUGGUCAUGCAUGUACAACAUGAUUUAAGAUAGGAAGGUGGAAGUGAAGCCUCGUCUGAGGCAAGCGCGGCUGCGCUUCAGUUCGACAACGCCACUUCUGCACACAUGUUAACGAAGUCUUUCAAGCGGCUCAAAACUUCUGCCUUGGUAUCUCGAGGAACCAAGCGGUAACCAGUUAUUCCGCCUCCUAGAUCUGCUGGGCGUUUCCAUUUGUGCUAGGAAUUAAAGCGAAACUCGAGAAGUUUUUGAAUCGCUGAUUGACUGCCCUCGAAACAAGAAAUCAUCUCUUACCACAUCAGAGCGUCAUGCAGAACUGUUGCUUCUGCGUAUUCCUGAAACUUAUGAACAAGAAGCUCCCCGCCUCUGAUCCUUUUGACGAAAAACCAACAGCAGUUACGCUUCAAAAAAUGUACCAAGCAACUGGUUUGAAAAGCGCUGUCGACUCCGCCGACUGGGGUCUUCCAGUAGUCCCUGGACGAAUGUGACGUGGCUAAGGUGGAGGAUUAAUUACUGUGAUUCUUUCCAACACAAGCUUGUCAGAGUUGUGAGGGCACGUAGACGGAAGUCAAUGUUAAUGCGCACCACGCCAGAUUGUUCCUGGAGAACCGUGCAAAGAAGAUGGGCAGAACUGUUCAUGUACAUUACACUCGUGGAUUUAUUCACUUUGCUUGCACCAUUUUUGAGGAAAAUUGCAAUACCAAACUAAUCACCUUGUGUCUACCUGGAAUUCUGCCGCCUUGAGCAUGGCGGAUUUCAGCCUCCCACUGUUACAUGAUAGCAUUUUCUCACAUUCCGAGGCCUUCUGUACACAUGGUUGUGCAGGACACUUAAUGCAGUCAGUUGUCUUUCCACUUCCUCCCUCAUUGAUAGCUUCUCCAGAGCUCCACAAUUGAUAGCGCGUUUUCUUCACGCUUGUGCAGGGCGUAUUCGUUUUCUGAUUACGUUCUGCACAAUCAUGCAUGAUGUGCGAUAUUUUUGUCUCGUUUAUUGUCCAUUCUCACGUAGAGGUAGUUUCCUCCAAAUGCAUGGAGUCUGUGUUUUGAACAUUGUAAGGUUCAACAAUUUGUUUGCUAAGGGACAUACAUCUGUAUAAUAAAUGAUAAGAAUGGAAUACAUACAUUUAUAUUCUAAUAAUAGAUAGGUGCACAUUGGGACACAAACAAUGAAUAGAGAAAGGACACACAAGCCUCUCAUUGGCUAAAACUCUAUCUUUCUAUUUAUCAUCCAGAAUAUUAACUAGAUUUCAGCAGUGAUGUUUCCAAAGGAGAAUAAUAACUAGAGUUGACACAGUUUACGAAAGAUGUGUUGUCUUCAAAGUGGAAAAUAUUUCCAAAGCAAAAUAAUUGAUGAUGUUGACAAGAAUAAUUUUUAUGCUCAAUUAAUUUUCCAAAUAAUAGUUACUUGGUCUUAUUCUGUGGUUACUUGUUACAUGAUACGAUGUUUAAAUAGACAUUACAUAAAACACCCAUUGGAUAAGUUCAUAAUUCAACAUAAAGAAACUUGGCAUGGAUUACUUAGCUUUCUUUGAUAUUUCUCUAUUAUUAAUUUGAUGUGCAUGCUAAUUCUUCAAAAUAUAUAUAUAUUUAUUUUCCUUUCGAAUCUUUGAUCAAGUGUCCCCUCUUCAUACAAUCCAAACAGCAAAAAUUAUAAUUUUUAUUGCUUAGUUAUAUCUAUAUAUGAUUGUAAUGUAAAUCAAAGAUAUUUUUACAUGAUGUUUUCUAUUUCUCUACUGCAUUUUGAAUUUAGAAGCACUUACACAAUUAUAUAUAAAGAUUCAUAAAAGAACAUAUGUGUGUUUUUAAACGUUCAUACUUAUAUAUAUAUAUAUAUAUAUAUAUAUAUAUAUGUAUAUCCAAUUUCAUAAUUUGAAACAAAAUUACAUAUCUGACCACUUAGUAAUAUACAAAACCACAUCUAGCUUUGAAAACAUUCAAUAGAAUAAAUAAAGAUGAAUUUAUUAAAGUGGGUUCAUUAAAUUGUGAGAAAUUCGAAUUUUAAUAACAUUGGGAUAUAAUGAUGCUAUUUAUCAAAUAUUUCCACAACAACAUAUUUAUUGGACAAGGAAACAUGGUAUCAUUUUUAUAAAAUCACAAGUUAUCCUUUUACUUUUGAUCAUACAGAUAACUCAAUAAUUAUUUUUAGUUAUAUAACAUCAAAUUUUCAAUAUUAAAAACAUAAAGAAUUUUUGUAUUAAAUAAAAGAAUUUAAUUCUUAAAAUUUUUAAAAACAAAUCUUUGACAUGUCAUAUGAUCAGAUUAAUUAUAAUUAAACAAUCAAAUAAAAUAAGAAAUUUCAUUUCUCUUUUCUAAUGUCAAAUAUAUAUUCAUAUGAUCUUAUUAAUAAUUUACUAAUGUUAUAUUUUGAUUUCUGAAAAUAUAUAUAUUUUUGAUAAUAUUACUAUUAUUACUCUUUAUAUUUGCAUCUCUCUCUCUCUCUAUAUAUAUGUAUGUAUAUAUAUAUAUAUAUAUAUAUAUAUAGAUAUAUAUAUACUAUAAAAUUUGUUUAAUUUUAAAAACUGAAGGUUUUUAAAAUAAUAUUUGUUCUAUAAAUAAUUCAAAAUUUAAUCAGAAUUUUAUUUUAAACAUUUGAAUAAGAAGCGUGUAUAUAUAUAUAUAUAUGUCUAUCAAAUAUUUGCAAUUUGGAUCUGUCUGUAAAGAUGUCCUUAAUAUUGUGAUGUUGUGGAUAUAAAAAAUUAUUGAGUGUACGUAAUUAUUAUAUUAUUUGCAUAAUAUGUGUUUGUUGUUCACAUGAUUAUUGCAUCUAAUAUAAAUGUAUUUAAAAUUCUAUGUAAUUUGUUGAUAUUUUUUGUAAAAUAAAUCAGUUUUAAAAAAAAUGUGUAUUUUUAUUAUGGUUAAUUUUUAAAAUAUACAAAAAAAAUUAAGAUAUAUAUAUAUAUAUAUAUAUAUAUAUAUAUACCUUACUUAAUUUAUAACUUUGGAUAGAAAUUUUAUAAAUUAUUUAAGAUUUUAUAAUGUAUUUGGGAUACAUAUUACUAAAUAUGUCCUUUUGUUCUAACAAACAUUAUUAAGUAAACUAGGAAUAUUAAUUAAGAGGUAUCAAAUAAUAAGGAUAUAUUUGUAUUUUUUGGAUAGAUGUGUGCAUAUAGAUAUAAAUAAAAAACUACUUUAUAAUUUUAUAAUGGUUAAAAAAAAUUAAAUUAAAAAAAUUUUAAACUUAUAUGUUUGUAUGUUUUUAUAAAUUUUUAUAAAUUUUGAGAAUUACAUAAAUUAAAACUAAAAAUAUUUUACAAAGAAUUACUAUCAAGGAUAUAAACCACAAAAAAUUAUAAAAAUACAAAUACAUUCUUAUAUUACCACUAAUUAGAAUGAGAAUGACUUCAUCCUUGCCUCUAUAUAUACUAUCUAUUAAAGAAUUACAUAGUAAUGUCUUGGAGUCCAAAUGAUACAUGUGCAAUUUGCAAGAUAUGUGUCUAAUUAAUAGAGUGAAUUUUUGAUAUGUGUGCAACAUGACCAACUUGUAAUAUAAGUGGCUAAAUAUGCAAUAUAUAACUAAGUUGUCAAUUUAUCAAUUACUUAUAAACAUGUGUAAAGUCUACAUAGCUUUUAGCAAACUUCAUAAUCAAAUAUCAACAAUUUUAGCUAUUUCGAUUUAAUUCUAUGUAGUUCUACUUAUUUAAGUAAAUGUAAUAAUAAAUAUGGCUAUUCUUUACAUUACUCCUUCUUCUUUCUAAGCAAUAAGUUCAACAACUAUUUGUUUUAUUGCUUCAUAAAUUAAUGAAGUCCAAGAUCUGUCAAAUGAUGUUAGCAACAAACUCUGAUCUUGGUUUUAUACCAAGGUCAUUAAUAGAUUUCUUUAACCAUUAGUAAACUCUUAUAUUAGAAUGAGAAGACCAGCUAAUAGUUUGAUCAUUAUUAAGAUCCUCAUAGCUACCUUCAAAUAAUAUAUUUUGCAUUCCAUCAAGUAUAGUACCUUCCUUCAAUAAUAUCACUAAGCAUUGAGAGUCUCCUUCAAGAUUGUAAUAUCAAACAAGUUGCAUAUGACCAUGUGUUUGUGGAAAAACAUGUCUCUCUUGAGGACCUUCAUUAUAAUUGCAACCUUUUUUAGGUUGAGACAAUUUAAGUGCUUCAUCUCGUAAUUUUACAAAUAAUAAGUUUUGAAAUAAAUUUUCUAGGUUUUGAUUUUUUAUGUUUAACUAAGAACCCUUCAAAUUGAUUUUUAAACUUAUUUAUCCUUAAUAUAUUUCAUAUUAAUUUUAAUUAUUAGUCCUUGAUUUUAAUGGAUAUUAUCAAUGAAAAACAAAUUCUAAUGUAUUUGCUAGAUUUUCAUAUAGCUCCUAUACACAUUGAUUAAUAUUAUAUAUGUACCAAUGUAUGAAAUAUUCUAAUUUAUUUUGAUACCAUUUAGAAUCAAAAAUAUAAGGCUUAAUAAGAAACACAUAGAAUAAAUGAUAACUCUUCAUUUAUAGUAGUAAUUGCAUUUAAUUAUUAUCUUUUCAUAAUAAAUAGGCCAAGUAUUUAUCAAUCCAACUUGUCACAAGGUCAAUUAGAUUUAAUAUUACAAUAAGGUAACUAUAUCUUAUAACCAAAUUUAAAUAAAAGUAAUUAUUUUCUAAAAAUAUCUAUAUUUAUUUUUUAUUGUUCUUGAACCUCUUUUAAUUAUAUCUUUAUUGUUAUAUAAAGCUCUUUUAUUUUACUUGUCAAAUCCUUUGUUAUAAGAUUUUUAAUUUUAAAAAAUAAAAAGUAUCAAAUUAUAGAUAGUAAUCAUAGUUAAUAAUAAAUAGAAUUUUUUGUAUAAAAGAAUUUAUUCUAUUAUUAUUUUAAAAUUCAAAUAAUAGUAAGAAAUUUAUCCAAUUAUUUUUUUGGUAGUUGAUGGUAUAUAAUAAAUAUUUUUUUAAUACUUAAUUCACAUAUUUUAUUUGUUAAUAAGUGUAAUCAAAAAAAGUUGAGGUUAACUUAGAAUUAACUUGUAAUAUGUAAAAGAAUAUCUUCCAAAUGAUAUUUUUAAUUGAGGCCCAUAAUCAAAUAUAAUGUUACUUUGAUGUUUAUAAUAUCAAUAAGUAUUGUCUAAGAAGAGUUUAGUUGUUUCUUCAUUGGUGUUGUUUUAUGUAAAAAUUAGUCUAAGAAUGCAUUUGGCAUCUGGCUAUAGAAGGUUAUGAUCUUACCUUCCAAUUGGAUUUAGAAUCCAAAAAUAUAUUACAUAAAGAGUUUAGAAAUAACUUAGUAAUCCUUAACAAUCAAAUAAUCUUUGCAUAUUAUAUUUAAUUUUAAGUAAAUCUUAAAAAAACUUAAUUAAAUAUUCAAAAAAAUAAAAAAUAUAUAUAUAUAUAUAUAGAAAUCCUAAAGAAAAUAUAAUAAAUUUUAAAAAAUCAAAAGAAAUUACAAAAAAAUCUUAAAAACAAGAAAUAAGAAAAUAAGAAAUAUCUUUAAUCAAGAAAAUCAAAUCUAUACAUGUAGAAAUCAUAGAUGGUUGUUUAUUAUCCUUUAAAAGCAUUAUCUAUGAAUUAAUUCUUUUAGAUGUAGCAAUUAAAGAUCAUAAUAAUUUAAUGAUAUUUAAUAUCAUUAAAUCUUCUUUCAAUCCAAUUAUUUUAGGAUUAUUGUGGUUAGAGAAGUAUAAUCCUCAAAUAGACUAGAUUUUUUUCAUAAUUUUGCCUAACAUUCUACUAAUCAAGUAGAAAUCCAUAAAUCUAAUAUAACUAAAUCCUUAUUGAUAGGUCCAAGAGCUUUCAUACAUGUUGCAAAAGAAGAAUCAACUUUUGUUAUAUCUAUCACACUUAUUUUCAAUGGAAUAAAGACUUCAAGUAGAAUUUUAAGGUAAUAUCAAGAUUAUUUAGAUAUUUUUAGAAGAAGAAUAUCAAUAUUCUUUUAGAGUAUUAUCUCCAUUAUUAUUCUAUUGAUAUUCUAGGAAGAGCUCAACUACCAUUCUAACCAAUCUAUAGCUUAUUACAAAACAAGUUAAUUACAUUCAAAGAAUAUAUUAAUAAGAACUUGGCUAAAAACUUUAUAUGCUAUUUUAAAUCUCUAUUAAGAGCUCUUAUCUUAUUUAUGGAGAAAAAAGAUGGAUCUUUGUCAAUAUAUGUAGACUAUUAAGAAUUCAACAAGAUCACCAUGAAUAAUAUGCAUCCUUUACCUUUGAUUUUAGGACUUCUUGAUCAAGUCAAUCAAAGAAAGAUCAACAGAAAAAUAGAUCUACAAAGAGCAUACAAUCUAAUAUACAUCAAAAAAGAAGAUGAAUAGAAAAUUAUAUUUUGAACCAAGUAUGGGUAUUUCAAAUAUAAUGUCAUGCCUUUUGGACUCACAAACAUAUUAAUUUCAUUUCAAUAUCUAAUAAAUGAUGUUAUUUGUGAAUUUUUUGAUGAUUUUUUUAUUUGUUAUUUAGAUAAUAUUUUAAUCUACUCUAAAAAAAUAAAAGAGCCUAAAUUUCAAAUUCAUUGUGUGUUAUAAAAAUUUAGAAAUGUAAGAUUAUAUGCCAAGAUGAAAAAAUGUGUAUUUCAUACUACUUAAGUUGACAUUUUAGGAUUCAUUUUUUCAAACAAUGGCCUUAUAAUAGAUUCUAAAAAUACCCAAACUAUCAUGGAUUGGAAGAUUCUAAAAAUAAUAAAAAAUAGAUAAUAUCUUUUGAGAUUUGUCAAUUAUUAUCAAAUAUUCAUCAAAAGCAUUUUUAAAAUUAUAGUCCUUCUUUUAUAUUUGACAUGUAAAGAAAAACUUGAGUAGAAUAAAGAAAUUGAAGCUUCUUUUCAAGCCUUGAAGAUCUUAUUUAUUUUUGAACCAAUCUUAUAUUGCGUUGACUUUUUCAAAGUAAUUUUUAUAAAAAUACACACAUUUAAUUUUGCUAUAUUAUUACAAAUGGAAGCAAAUGACAAGCUCCAUCUGAUAUCUUUCUAUUAUUAAACAAUUUCAACACUUGAAACCAACUACGAGAUCUAUAACAAAGACCUUCUUGCAAUUAUAGAUUCAUUUCAAGAAUAGUGUUAUUAUUUAGAUGACACUUUCAAUUCAGUCAUUGUAUAUAUCAAUCACAAGAAUCUUAAGUAUUUUAUCACAAAAAUAUGUCCUUUUCAAAUGUUUUUAUCUUGCAUCCAAAAAAAAAGAUGCAUAUUUUGGUCAACAAAGAAUAAUUCUAUUAAAUCCAAAGCAUUUUCUCUUUAAGCAAUGAAAUCAAUAUUUAUUAUUGAUUCAAGAUUUUUUCAAGUAAGUUCAAUUGAGUAUAUCCUUUGGUCUUCUUAUUUAUAAUAUUAAUGAUAAUUCUUUGAAAUAUUUUUAUAUUUAUAAAUUUGAGUUUAAAAAUAAUCUAUUAUUUUUUAAAGUAUAAUUAUACAUUUCAAAAGGCAAAGUACAAUAACAUAUUUUUCAAGCUUUUCACAACUUUCUAAUAGUUGGACAUUUUGCAUAUAAGAAGUUUUUGGAGCUAAUAUCCAAAUAUUUUUAGUGGCUUUAAAUAUGGAAGGUAGUCAAAGACUUUGUACAAUUAUAUAACAUUUAUUCAAGGUCAAAAACUUCUUGUCAUCAAUAUCAUGGACUUCUUCAGCUAUUAUCUAUUAUGAAACAAUGAUGGUCUUUUGUUUCUAUAGAAUUUAUGACGGAUCUUCUAAUCUUAAGUUCUUAUGAUAUUAUAUUUAUAAUAAUAGAUCAUUUUAUAAAGAUGUCAUAUUUUAUAUCAUAUAUAAAAUACAUCAGAGGUAAAAAAUAGCUAAGCAUCUUAUUAUUAAUAUCUAUCACUAUCAUGGAUUUUUCAAAGAUAUUAUAUCUAAUAGGAAAAUUUAAUUUAUAUUAAGAUUUUAGAAAUUUCUUUUUAAGAUUUUGUCAAGGAUAAGAAUCUUUAAGAAAGGAAAUCUUCAAUAUACUCUUAUGUCACUGAGGAAAAUUAAAAAGUCAUUCAAAAGGUGAUGUAAUAUUAAACUAGUAUGGCUAUUGCUAAAAACAAGAAGACUAAAAAGACUAAAAAGACUAUUUCUUACAAGACUUAGAACAAGAAGACUAAAAAUACUAAGAAACUAAUAUGGCUAAACUUGUAAAGUUGACUUGUAAAGUCAACACAUUUUGGAGGUCCUAUAAGACAUCGCCAUAUAGCUCCUAGUUAAAAGUAUAUAUGGAGGUAAGAGUAGAGUCUUCUUCACUCUUAUCAACGCCUUUCUAGUCCUUAGUCUUGUUUCAAAACUUGUAAGAAAUUUUUUCUAUAUGUGUAUCAUAUAGUUAGCUUGUUUUGCAAGCUGUCAAUAUGUGGUUAACUUGUUGACCAAGUUUUUAAUCUAUUAAUCAACUACAAAUACAUGUAAAGUCAAGCAGUAUCUAUGAAGCUUCUAGAAAGCUUCUAUAAAAGGUCUUAUAAAAUUAACCUACUUUUAUCUACUUUUAUCUAUUCUUACCUAAUUAUAUAACUAUUUAUUAAAAUACCUAUAUAUUUUUGUGACAUUAUCUCUUCUUCUAGGGACAAGUUCUACAAGGACCAGGCUUCAUAUGUUGAAGAAAUUCAAGAUGCAGUAAAUUAUAUUUGCCAUAUAUGUUGAUCUUUGUUCUCUUCGAAGAUGGUUGAUAGGCCUUCUCACCUAUUGAUAGUGUCCUAUAGCAAGGUGAGAAGAUUAUCUUAUUAUUUGGUUGUUAUUGAAACCUUCGUAACUUCCUUCAAAUAAAACAUUUGAAACAUUGUUAAGAGUUGUUCCUACCUCUAAUAAAAUCAUCAAACAUCGGGAUUCUUUUCCAAGGUUGUGAUACCAAAUAUAUUGUAUCUCACCAUCUAUUCAAGAAAAGACAUGUCUUUCUUUAAGAUCUUCAUCUUGAUUUUAUUAUCUUGAAGAUUGUGACAAUUAUAAUAUCUCAUCUAGUAAGUCCGCAAAUAAAAGCUCUUCAAUUGAAUCUAUUGGUUGUUGAUUUUUCAUCUUUUUAAUUACAUACAAGCUACAAAGAAGGAUAGAAAAUAGAGUAUUAUUUUCUUUUGAUCUUAUGUCUUAUAUAUCAAAGAUUUGUUAUUCUUCAUAUUAGUUUUGAUGGAUAUCGUUGAUGAAAGGCUUCAACUUUCUUUACUGCAUUUGCAAGAUUCUUUGAUGGCUUCCAUGUACAUUUACUAAUAUCAUAUCCGCCCCAAUGAACAAGAUAUUCUAAUCUAUUUUGGCGUUGCCUUGAAUCUAAGACUCUGCCACCUUAAACUCUUGAUUAUUAUCUACUUCUUUGGGAGGAAGUGGCAUUUAUCUUCUUCCUAAGAAAUUCACUAUCUUAUAUGGCUCAAGAAGGGACAUGUGAAAUAUUAAGUGGAUCUUCAUAAAUUCUAGUAGAUGUAAUCGAUAAGCAACAGGAUUGAUUUGUUUACAAAUAGAAAUAUAUUCCAGCUUAAGAUAGUCCAACUUAUCACAAGGACAAGUAGUCUUCAUAUUGCAAUAAAGUAACCAUAUUUUGUCAUCUAUGUUGAAUUAUGGUUGCUCUUUGUGAUAGGCAUCUACGUUAGUCUUUUGUCAUUCUUGAGCUUCAUUUAAUUGUGUCUUCAUUGUUGUAUGUAGCUUUGACAAAUAAUUUACUAAAUCUUCUACUGUAAAAUUAUCAACUUUUAAAAAGUCAAAAAUAUCAAGUCGUAGAUGAUAAUCAUAAUUAAAUAUAUAUAUAUAUUGAGUAGAAGAAUAUAUCAAAUUACUGUAUACAAACUUUGUCAAUGACAAAAAAAUUAUUCAAUCAUUUUGAUGAUAGUUGAUCGUAUAUCUCAAAUAUUGCUCUAAAAUUUGAUUCACUUAUUCCAUUUGUCCAUCAAUUUGAGGAUGAAAAGUCAAAAAAAGCUUUAUAUCCACCUUUAGAAACUUGAAUAGGAUUUUUUACAAUCUUAAUACAAAUUGAGUCUCCCUAUUCAAUAUAAUAUCUUUUGGCAAUCUAUAAUAGUAAUAGAUAUUAUCAAUGAAAAGUUUAGUUAUUUUUUCACCUGAAAUAGAUUUUAUACAUAGUACAAAAUGUACCAUUUUGGUGAAGAAAUAUACAAUUAUAAAUAUAAAAUCAUGUCAACUUCAACUUAGAAGAUUUGUAAUAAAAUCCAUAGAAAUAGAUGACCAUAGUUGUUUAAAUAUAGGCAAUGAUUGGAAAAGUUCAUAGAAUCAAUGAUGAAGAGUUUUUGAUCUUGAAUAAAUGUCACAUGAGUGAACAAAGUCUUUUACCAUAUUUCAUAUUUGUGGCCACCAAAAAUCUUUGGAUAUAAGCUCUAAAGUCUUAUUGUAUUUAAAAUAUACUGUUGUUGAAAAGUCAUGAUGUACUUGAAAAACACAUAAACGUGCUUUUCUUUCUAAAACAUAUAGGGGUCCUUCAAAAUAGAGAAGGUUAUUCUUAAACUCAAAUUUUGAAACAUCAUGAGACUUAAAAAAAAAGAUUCUUGAUAUCAUGAAUAAGAAGAUCAGAGGGCAUACUUGAUUGAAUUUAUUUGACAAAGGUCGAAUCAACAAUCAAUGUUGAUUUUAUUGCUUGAAGAUGAAAAUAAUUUGGCUUCAAGAAGAUUGUUCUUUGUUGAUUAAAAGAUACGUCUGUUCUUUUGAUGUAAGAUAAGAGUAUCUAAAAAAAGUAUUUAAUAAAUCUUAUUAUUUUUUAGAUUGAUAUGUGAUCUUAAAAUCAAAACUUGAUAAUAUUAUGCUCCAAUGGGCUUAGCAACAAUUCAAAACAUGUGUCGACAUGAAAUACUUGAGAUUCUUGUAAUCCAUAUAUAUUGUGAUUUGACUUAAAACACCUUUUAGAUAAUAAUACUAUUCUUGAAAUGAAUCUAUAAUUGCAAGAAGUUCUUUGUUGUAGAUCUCAUAGUUAAUCUCAAUUGCUAAAAAUUUCUUAGAAUAGAAAGCUAUUGGAUGGAGUUUGUUACUUAUUUCUAUUUAUGUAAUAAUGCACUGAAGGCAAAAUCUGAUGCAUUUGUUUCCAUAAAUAAUGCUUUAGAAAAGUGGACGUGAUACAAAGUUGGUACAGAAAUAAAUUUCUUCUCCAAAGCAAAAAACAAUGUUUUGGCUUCUUUAUAUGUCAAAUGUAUAAAUGGAGUUGCAACUUGAGAAAAGUUCUUGAUAAAGAUUUGAUAAUAAUUGGCAAAGUCUAAAAAGCAUUGCAUAUCUCUUACUAUUCUUGAGAUCUUCUAAUUUAUGAUAGUUUGGACCUUCUUUGGAUCCAUCAUAAGGCCUUCAUUGGAAAUGAUGUAUUCCAAAAAUUCAACUUGAGUAGUGUCGAAUAUAUAUAUUUUCAUCUUUAUGUUGUCAUAUUGUAAUUACUUAUAGUAUGUAAAAAUUAAUUAAACCAUAUAAUAUGUUUAUGAUUCCUAAUGUAUAUUAGAAUAGUUAUUAGGUUAAUAUAAAGAAAAUUGAUGUAGAAAAAUUUAUUUUAAGGUUUACUUAUUUUUAUUAUAAUAUUUAAAUUAUAUAAGAUUUAGAUAUUUAUAAUAAAGUUAUAAGAGAAGAUUGGAGUUCAAAGUUGAAGACUCAAACUAUUAAGAAGCUUGUUUGGAAGAAUAAAGGUAAGAUAUGGAUAGAUGAAAGCAUAGGGUGAAGAUCUUCAUCCCUAUUGGUUGAAGACCAUAUCCAAUAGACUUUUAGGAGGUGGUCUGUGAUCAUAAGAAGAAUUUUUGGUGACCUUAGAGGAGCAUUUGAGAAUCAAAAAUUAGGAUUAUAAGAUUUAAGAUUCGAGCUACAAUUUUGAUGUAAAAAUUAGUGAGUUUGGAAUUAGGGUCAAGAAGUUAUAGGCAUUUGAAGUUAAGAUAUUGUUUUAAGAUAUACUAUUGCUCUUUUGAGCAUACAAGGAGUUUUACAAAAGUUUUUGGAUAUUAAAAGAUGUGACUAGAAUGGCAAUUUUAUUACUUAUAUCUUCUAUGAAAGAAUUGUUACAUUUCGAGUUUAGAUGAAGAAGUUAUAGAGAACUGAAGUCAGUGUAUUCAAAUCAAAAGCAAUAAGUAAGUGAUUUUAUUCAUAGUAAUGGUUGGAGCCAUAUCUUAAAUUUUUGUAUAAAUUUUUGGCUCAAACCUUUUGAAAAAGGUAGAUUAUUGCAUUAAGAAGGUAUACAUAUAAAAUUUGUGGCAUUUGAGUACUUAUUUUGUGAGAUAUGAAGAAAAUUAUAUGUAGGUAUAUAAAAACUAGGAUUUGAAGCUACUGUUAGGAUUUUGGUAAUAUCAUAAGAUCCGUAAUAAAUUUGCAAUUGAAAUUUAUUACAAUAUUUAUGAAAAUACAUCAGUAUUUUAUAUAAAAUUUGAGUGUGUUUGAAUGGUCCAAUUGGAAGAUAUGAGGUAUUGAAGUUUGGAAAUAAUAUCCCAUAAGGAUAUAUAAGGAUUUAGAAUUUUUAUCAUAUUUUGGGUAUUUUUGGAAAAUUAAGACAUAUAUGUUUGGUAUAAUUGCUCCUAAAAAUAAUAUAUAUAUAUAUAAAAACUUGGUCUUUCUUACAUCAAGACUUGAUUGAAUAAUUAUUGACAACUAGAAGCCUAAUGCUUUUUUGAGGCAAAUUCUCUCUAUCCUGAUAAUAUAUAAUCUUGCAUCUCUUAGUUUUUGUAACACACAACGAACAUAAACUUCAUACUCUUCUAUAUUUUUAAAAUAAAUGAAAAUUUUAUCCAAAUAACAGACAAUAAAAUCAUCAAGAAUUUCACAAAAGACAUCAUUUAUUAGACAUUGGAAAGUAGUUGGUAUAUUUGUAAGUCCAAAAGGCAUGAAAUUAUAUUCAAAAUAUUUAUACCUAGUUUGGAAAGCAUUCUUCUAUUCAUUUCCUGAUUUGAUGUGGAUCAGAUUAUAUGCUCCUCAUAGAUCUAUUUUUGUAUAGAUCUUUGCUUCAUUUAGUUCAUCAAGGAAUCUUAAAAUGAAAGAUAGAGGAUACCUAUUCUUGAUGGUCAAGUAUGACUUUAGACCUUUUCUCUCAGUAAAGUUUAAUUUUGCAUCUUUUCAUUCAAUUCAAUUUUUUUAUAUUUUUGUUUGCUCAAUUUGUCUUUCAUGUCUUAUUCGUUUAGUUUCAUUCAGUUCUGUUCUAGUCUAUUUUGUCCUAUUUUGUAAUGAGGUUUUAUAUUGCUAUGGAAUAGAAAGAACUUGGAUUUUUGACAUAGUCUGGUCAACUUUCAAAUAUUUUUUUUGAAAGAAGUUACAAAGGCCUCAACAAUAAUCAAUUAAUAUAGUAGUCUUCCUACCUUAAAAUAAAACAUUAUUAAUGGUUGAAAGGACCUAUUAACCACCUUAAAAAGGAGCAAAGAUCAAAAUAUGUACCAAACACAAUUCUUUGUUUCUUAGACUUCUUCAACAUAUGAUGAUCUCACCUCAUAGAACUUGUCUCUAAAAAGAGAAAUAAAAUUAUAGACAUACAUAUUUAUUUAGAUAAUAAAUAUAAAUAAAUAUAAUAUUAUCUUAUGACAAAGCUUCUUAGAAGCUUCAUAUAUGCAUAUUUUACUUAAUAUAUGUUUAUAGUAGAUUGACACGUUAGAAAAUUUUUCAACAAAUUAGCCAUAUAUCACACAUAUUGAUAGCUCGUAGUAUAAACUAACAAUAUGGUACAUAUAUAGGAAACUUUUUUUGUAAGUUAAGAUACAUGUUUGGUAAAUUGAAUACGUACUAGAGAUUCUAUAAAAUGUUGUUAUGUAGCUUAUAAUUAGAUAGUAUAUAUAGAGGCAAGAAUAAAGUCUUUUUCAUUCUUAUCAAUGCCUUUUUAAUCCUUAGUCUUGUUUCAAGACUUUCUACUCUUCUUGUCUUUGACAAUAGUCAUUCUAAUUUAAUAUUAUAUCAUCUUUGAAUGGCUUUCUAAUAUUUAUGAGUGACAUAAGAAUAUAUUGAUCUUUUAAUUCAUGAGAUCCUGUCAUGGACAUAUUCAUAUAAGCUAGUAAUUACAUAUACAAAUAGGUGGAAGUAAGUAAAAGUAAGUUAAAGUAAGUUAAUUCUAUAGUAUUUAAUAUGGAAGCUUUUUAGAAGCUUCAUAGAUGCUGCUUUGACUUCAUAGGUGUCUUUAAUUGACUUUUUGGAUUAGAAACGUGGUCAACAAGUUGGCCAUGUGCCACACAUGUCCUUAGCUUGAAGAUCAAGCUAACUAUGUGGCCCACACGUAGAAAAAUUUGCCUUGUAAGUCAAGGCAUGUGUCCUACAAAGUCAACACAUAUUCGAGGUCCUAUAGAACGUCGCCACGUAGUCCAUACUUAGAUAGUAUAUAUAGAGACAAGAGUGAAGCCUUCUUCACUCUUGUCAAAUCCUUUCUUGCUUCUAGUCUAGUUUCAAGGGUCUCUAGUUUUCUUGUCUUUUGGCAAUAGCCAUUCCAAUUUUUCUUUCAAUAUACAUACUUGUUUAUUGUUAUUUUGUUACCUUUCUUCGAGUGAAGGCUCACUUGUCUGAAUUUCUUUUUAUCGAAUUCUUGUCCUUGACAGAUUGACAAGAGUACACCUAUAAUAUCAGAGCUUUGUCUAAUCUUGAUUAAAAGUGGGUUACCCCUUUUUUUUUAUAAGAUAUAAGCAUAUUAGAAGUUGCGGAUUAUCCUCUUCUAAACUGAUAUUGUCCUUAGUAAUUUCUUUGUUCUCAAGUCUUCUCUUCUAUUUGUCUUGAAUGAUAUUAGAUAUCUUUUCUUUUCUAAGUGUUAUCAUGGCAGAACUUAUUGAAAUAAAAAGUGUAAUGACAUAAAUACAAGAGUAAUUGAGAGAGUUAAUGCUAGCGAUGCAUCAACUCAAUUUACCAUCGUAAGGAGCAAUAAGAUUCACAGGAAGUGAAGAUAUAGAAAUGGUUGGAGCUGCUUCAAUAUCUACACCGAAUCAAGUCUUUUCUCCUAUGGUGGAACGCCCUUCCAGUGUUAGAGAACCAAGAAUUGCCCUACCCGAGAAGUUUGAUGGCACCAGAUCCAAAUUUCAAGGAUUUAUCAAUCAAGUGCAACUUUUGAUUGAACUUCAAUCCCAAAGCUAUCCAAUUCCAAGAUCGCAAGUUAGAUUCAUUAGUACGCUUCUUUCAAGUUCAGCACUAUCGUGGUUUUCAUCUUUUCUUGAACGAAGAGAUCUAAUAGUAGAUAAUCUAGAGGCUUUUCAGGUGGAGUUUCGAUCCAUGUAUGGAGAACAUGAUGUAAUUCGUGUUGCAACCAAUAAGAUCUGUAUUUUACAACAAGGCAAUCGAUCAGUAACGUUGUAUAUUUCACAAUUUUGAAAACUUGUAAUUGAUAUCAAGUGGGAUGAUGCUGUACUUAUUAGCCAAUUUCUCUACGGAUUAUAAUAUGAGGUAAAAAAAUUAAUGCUCAACUUAUUUGAUCUUCAAACAUUGAGUCAAGCAAUUGACUUUGCUGUGAAGUGAAACAAUCGACUUUUUGAAUUUCGAUCUAGAAACCGACCUCAACAUUGUCGGGGUAGAGAGGUUUUGCCUCAAGAAAGCGCUGCGCUUCUGGCUGUCACUAAUUGCUCAAUCAAGCUUAAAAUAAGGAAAUCCUAAUUUUAUAUAUAUAAGAUCUCCUUUUGGGACAAUUACACCAAAUACUUAAGUCUUAAAUAACCAACAACACCCAAAAUAUGGUAGAAGUACUCUAAAACCUUGUAUAUCCUUGUGUGGAAAUUCUCCCAAACCUCAACACCUCAUAACUCUUGAUCCAACCGUCCAAACAAGAUCAAAAUUUAUAUGAAGUACUGAUAUAUUGUUAUUAAUUUUUACAACAAAUUUCAACCGCAAAUUCGUCGCGGAUUUUGAUAUAUCUUCAAAACCCAAACAAUCGCUUCAAACCCUAAUCUUUAUAUACCUACGUGCAAUUUUCUUCAUAUCUCACAAAACAUAAGUCCAAAUGCCACGAAACUUAUAUAAAUAGCUUUUUAACACAAAUUUUUACAUUAUCCGAAAGUUUGAGCCAAAAUUUCGUUCGAAAACUCAAGUAAUGGCUCCUAACACUACUUUGAACAAAACCGCUCACUUACUGCCUUUGAUUUGAAUGCGCUGUCUUUAACUCCCUAUAACUCCUUCACAUAAACUCCAAAUGCAAAAUUUCCUUCACAAAAGAUAUAUGUCUUGAAGUUGCUCUUCUAGCCACACCUUUCGAUCUCCAAAAGCUUCCGUAAGACUCCUCUUAAACUCAAAAGAGUAACAGUAGGUCUCAAAUUGACACCUUAACUUCAAACGGCUAUAACUUAUUCACCCUAACUCCAAACCCUAUAAAAUUUGCACAAAAAUUGUAGCCAAAAUCCUAAACUUUACAACCCUUGCCUCUGAUUUCCUAAUGGCCUCUUUGAAGUCGCCGAAACCCUUAUCAAGGUCGCGGGCAGCCUCCUAAAAGCCCAUUGGGCAUGGAUUUCGACCAAUGGAGAUGAAGAUCCUUAUUUCUACCAUCAUCCAACCAUGCCUUGGUUUCAUCCCUCCCAAUUAACCUCCUAUUAGUUUAAAUCUUCAUCUUUAGGCCCCUAUCUCCUCUCAAGGCUUCAUACUUAACAUUAAGGUUCUAUAACUUUUAUAUACUAUAAUCAAACUAAGGAAAACAAAAUAAAGUUUUUUCAUACCAACUCUUUUUAAUUUAAUCUAUUAUCCACUCUAACAUACAUUUAGAUUUAUUAACAUUUAUUGUGUUCUAACUAAUUUUUACAUACUAUAAGCAUUUACACUACGACAUCCACUCCCUCCAAACUUGCACAUCCUCCGGUAUGUGCCACGUCUUACUCCUCUCCUUCUUCUUGAAAGUGCUCCAAAUCAUUCAUAGGUUCUCUUCCUUUACAUUCUUGAUCCAAAUAUUGAGGUAGAAAUUCUUCAAGGUCUUCUAUUUUGAACUGCCCAUCUCUUCUUUUAAAAGCCUUUAUCCUCUUUUCAGCUAUUGGAAUUCUAAUGAUAGCUCCAUCUAACUCCAGUAAGGUGUAUGUGGCAUUAUCAUGGACUGUGACUACCACAUAUGAUCCAAACCAUUUUUUUGCAAAUUUCUUUACGGUGCUAUGUUCAUGUUCAAGGCUAUUAUCAUAAACUAAAACCCAGUCUCCAGAUUCUAUAGGCUUAGGCCUUAAUCUAUGAGUCCUAUGAAAUUUUUUUUUUUUUUUUUUUUUUUUUUUUUUUAACCUUAAUUUUUUUAACCUCUCUAUUGCAAUCUGCAAGUCUUCAGGUAACCUUCUCAAUUGUUGGAUUCGAAGUUCUAACAAUCUUUUCCUAUCAAUGUUAUCUUUUCAAGAUAGAAACAUCCAUGUAGGAUAUGUUCUUUCAGCUGGCAUCAUAGGUUUUUGUCCUAACAUUAAUUCCAUGGGCAUAUAACGAGUGACAGUACUAUGAGUAGUCCUAUCAGCCCAUAAAGCAAAUGGAAGUAAUUUAGGCCAUUGAAUUGACUUACCCUUACAUGCCUUGACCAAUGCAUAAAUAAUAGGAGGAUGACCUCUUUCACUCUUGCCAUUGGCUUCAGGAUUAUAAAAAGUAGUCAAUUUCAAAUGAACUCCAUACCUGUUGAAGAAUUCUCUUGCUUUAACAGCAUCCAACUUCCCCCUGUCAGCUCUCAUCCUUCCAAUGCUUCCAUAUCUGCUGAAGAUAUCUUCCAGUAUAAACCUACAUACCGCUUUUGUGACCUUGGUUCUCAAAGCCCUUCCUUCAACAUAAUUUGAUAACUCCUCUCUUGCCAAAAUAAAAUAUUUCAUACCCCAAAGUCCUAAUGGCAUAGCUACCAAAUCAAUCACCCAUUAAAAAUGUAUAGAAGAUGGAUAAGUAGGAUGUAAUCCAUCUCUAUAUCUAACCUUAGAUUGUAGUUGACACUCUGUACAUGAACUUACAAAGUCUUCUACAUCUUUGUAUAGACCCUUCCACCAAUACCUUUCCUUGAUCUUGGUAUAUGUAGCCCAAAAUCCCCUGUAUCCUAUCCAAAGUGUAUCAUGAUAUUCUUUCAAAACUUGAAUUUUAGUUUCAAGAUCUCCUAUUACCUUUAAUGGAAAUUUAUCACCUCUUUUUGGCCUCUUUCAUAAGAAUCUAUCUUUAAGUAGAUAACCAUAGGAUUGAUGUCUAAUAUCUUUGAAGGUCUUAUCCAUCCAUCCUUCUUGCUUCUUUAUUGUGCUCAAGUAAAUUCCAAUAUCCCUCAAUUUGCCUUCAUACAAAUCCUUAUGGAAAAUUUCAGCCUCAUCAUUAAAAUCCAUUCCACCUGUAGAAAAUAAAUUUCCAUAGCUCUUGUCUUCUUGAUCUUCACUCCUUUCAUGAGACACCAUUUCUUCUUCAAAGGUAUAUCUGGCUUUAGACAAUAUGUCUGCCACUAAGUUUUCUUUACCACUAAUAUGUAUUAAAACAGGAUUCAAUGUUCUUACAUAUGCUAUUCAUCUUAGCAUAGCAAUAUCUGGAGUAGUGCAGUUAAUUAUCAUUCCAAGUAAAGAUAAACAAUCUGUUUUUAAAACCACACUUGCUCCAAUCAAAUAAUUCCUUUUAGCCUUUAGAGCAGUGAGUGCUCUCCAAAGCUGUCUUUUAACUUGUGGAUAAGCCCUUUGUCUCUUUGUAAGAAUUCUAGCUCCAAAUCUUAUAGCAAAUCUUCUCCCUUCCAUAUCAUCUUGUCCAAUUGCCCAUCCAAUUGCUAUAGGACUUGUAUCCACUGUUACAAUCACUGGUCUUCUACAUUGAUAAUCUACUUGUCUAAGCACAUGUGGUGAACUCAACAUCUUCUUUAGAUUUUCCAUAUCUAUUUCUUGUUCUUUUUCCCAAAUAAAUCUCUUACCUUUCCUCAAUAACUUAUAUAGUGGUUCUGAGAUAUGAGCAAAGUGAUGCACCCAAAUGUGAUAGAAUAUACACGCCCCUAAAAACCUUUUGACUUCUGUAACACUUUAACAAGCCUGCAUUCUAGAUAUAGCAUCAACCUUAUCAGGGUUUGGUUUUCUACCAUACUUGCUACACAUGUGUCCCACGACUAGAAUUUCAUCAACUCCAAAGCUUGAUUUCUCCAAAGAUAAUGUCAAAUUAACUGAUUUCAAUCUCUCCAAUAUUUUAGCCACAUCUUCAAUAUGCAUCUUGACAAAAUUUCUGCAAUCUUCAACCUCCAUGGUCUCAUCCUUAUCUUCCUUCCUAUCUCCCUUAAUAGGUCUAUCAUCCAAAAAUGGGAUGUUCUUCUCAAGUACAAAGUCUUUUAAUAUUUGAUUCAUAGCAUUUUACAUAUGAGCCACUGAGUUGGUUGCACCUUGAGGUAAAGUAUACAUCCUUAUUAAACCCAAAGGAGUCUUCAUGGUGGUUAAAUCUCUACUCUCUUUAGCCAAUUGAAAUUGGUCAUACCCGGAAUAUAAGUCUCCAAUAGAAUGGAUGGCAUGACUUGCAAAUUGCUCAGCCACUUUAUCUACUAAAGGUCCUGAUCCCAUGUUUUGAAUAAUCACUUUGUUUGCACGUUGCAUAUCCUGAAUGAACUUCAAUGUCCCUGACUUCUUAGGUAUUGUAAACCAUCUAUUAGAGUAGGAAGCAAUUGAAGGUUCUAAAAUUCCCAUCUUCACUUUUUCCUUCAAUAAUUCUAUCCAUUUUGGAAGUAAAGCUCUAGGCACAUGUAUAGGUUUUAAAUUCCAUGGAAUAUGUGGUACCGUAAAGAUUACCAUAGGUACUAUAAAAUUAGGAUCUACACAUCCAAUCUCAUCAGGAUUUAAGGCAAAUGCCUUACUAUAUUCAAUAAGCAUUUCUUGAAAAAAAUUCCUCUCUAUUGAUGUCAAGAAAUCACCCCCUCCAAUCUUCAGCUUAAAUAAUGAUUCUUGAGUAAAUUGAUGUCCAAUUUUGCGCCUUUUCCUUAAACUUGGCUCUAUAAUUACUUGUUUGAUAUGCUCCAUAGUAUCCACUGGUAACUGGGUAGCUACAGGUUUAAUCUUUUUAGCUACAGUUUUAUAUUUAGUUUGUACUCUAGCCUCUAAUUUCAACCCAUAGCUUAUAGCGAGUCCACCAUUUGCUACUAUCUUUUCUAACUCCUUAUAAGUUCCCCUUGAGUGUAACUCUAUAAUAGCAUCUCCAUCCAUGCUUACAGCCAAAUCUUCCAAAACCUCUAUCAAAUCCUCUUCAAAACCUACUUCUUCUAUCAUUCCAACUAUGGCUUCAUCACUUGAAAUUAAACCCAUUCUUUUUAAGUUUUUCUCUUAUUUCUUCACCCUUCUUUUAUUUACAAAACCCAAAUCUUGGAUCUUUUGAACACUCACAAAUCCAUUACUAGUCAAGUUUAAAAAUCCAAAACUCAUAUUAUCUACACUGAGAUUUAUAGAUGAUUCAUUUGCACCCAUCUAUCCCCAUCCUACAGAGGUACUCUCUAGAAAUCCACAAAAUUGUUUCCUGACUCCAAAGGCAUCCCUCUUAAUUGCUCCCUGUGCCUCUCAUGAAUAGGUUUCACAGUAAUAAAUUGCACAGCUUUUUUUCCAUCCCAACUACGAAUCCUGGCAUAAUGUGAACCAUCAUCCAAGACUCUAGUCUCCAUUCUAGGAGCAGUAAUAUAGGGCUGACCAAGUAUUACUAGAUAUGUAGCAGAAUUUUGUACGAAGAAAUUUUGUUCAACCUCCAUAUCUCCAAUCUUGGUCUUUAUAGCUGGACAAGCUCCAUAUAAAUCAUCUUGUUGAUUAUUUGUUGUUCUAAUUACCCAACCAUGGUUGAUGUCAAUUGGCCAUUUAUUCUUCUGAUAUAUUCACCCUGACAUAAUAUUGAUUUCAGAUCCAUGAUCAACUAAGGCCAAAGUUAGAUCUUGAGAAUCUCCCAGUCUCACAUAUGCCUCUGUAGUAGCUCUAGCCCAAUAAGGAACUGAAUAGCUACUAUUUCCCAUUCCAUCAUUUUCACAUUUAGAAUAAGUGUUUACACAUGCUUCUUAUACAAUCUCUUUUUUCACAGUAGAUUCCUCAGAUGUGUAUUCCACUUGAUGCUCUUUUAUAACCCCAACUUGUUUAAGUGAAUCCUUGUCUUCCAUAUCAAUCUUACUUCCAACUUUUGGCAUUGCAAAUUGUGCAAAUACCUGCCCUAUCUCUUCUUCUUCAUCCAAAGUUACUAGAGUGUCCAAUGCUUCCACCAUAAUAGCUUUAGUUGUCAUCUGCCUCUUUUUCUUUAUGACAUUAAUAAUCUGAUCAUAGAAAUCCCUCUUGGCAAUACUAAGAGCCUCUCUUAGAGUAAAUUCAAUCUUUGCAUCUAAGAUCUUUUCUUCUAAAAUACUCUUCAUAUUUGUUGAUGACUCUAUAUCAGAUUGAAGCUUAUAGAUAGGAAUUUUACCUUUAGCUUUGUUAGAAUCAUCCUUCUCCUUCAUUUUGUCUUUCUCCCACUACUCUUUUGGUAAUGGUGUGUCUCUAGGACGAGUAGAAGAAGGCACCUUCUCAAGAUUUUGUUCCUCUUGAGCUUCUUUAUUUCUUGGAGACCUCCUCUUGCUUGCUGACUCACCAACAUCUUCUUCAUGAAUAGCUCUACCUCUUUUCUCUUCAACUAUAGCAUCAUGCAAAUCAUCAUCAUGUUUGUCUUUACACAAAAAAGCUUUAAUGCUAAUGAUAUCAACUGGAUCAUUUCAUCUAGUUAUCUUUCUGAUAGCUUCACCUCCCCUGAUCAUGGCUUUAGUGCUUGGUGAAGAAUUAGCCUUAAUUGCCUUUUAUUCAACCGUAAUAGAAUAAGCUUCAACUUCUUUUCCUUUUAUGGCAUUACUCUUUGAUGUUUGAUCUUUUACCAAUUUUUUCUACAUACAUCUCUCCACAAAUCCUUUUGACCCUUCAACUACCCUUGAUGAGCUUAUCAUUUGGGAUUUCUUCAAUUCAGUCAUUUCCACCUUCAAAUCCCAUAUGUCCUUGAUUAAUUCUUCAAAAGUGUCAUUCUUCACAGCCUUUAUUCUUUUUUGGGGUGGCUCUAGAUUUGAGAUGCAGGCACUGGUUCCAACCUUGAUAUUAUACCAUGAGCCUUAAUCUUCUGUUGUUUAGCCAAAAGUCCCACUGUCUCUUUUACUAGCUUCCAAUUAUUUUUAAAACCACUUUGAGAUGUCUUGUCUGCUAAGUAAAAGAGUAACUUAUCUUCCAGGUGUUCAUCAGCUGCUUGCAAGAAUAAUCCAAUUUUCUUUGUUUCCAAUAGCUGCCUCUCUUGCCGUGGCAAUUGACCAAACUUUGUUUCAAAAUCCUUGAUUAAUUUAUUUAAAGCCAUUUGAUUCCUAGGCCGUUGCUCAAUCCACUCAAAAAAAGUCACCUUGGUCAUUCUUUCUGAAUCCUACUCAAAAAAUUCUUCUUUCAAUAGUUCUUCAAAUUUCUUCCAUGACAUAGCCUCUGCAUGCAACUCUUGCACUCUCUCUCUUAUUUCUGGUAUCACUGCCAAAUCAAAGGUAGUAAUCAUCUUCAUUUCUGGAACUUGAUGCACCUCCAUUUCACAUAUGUAAAUCCUUAAGAACUUGGUAAUAUUCCUUCCAUCAAACCUCCCAAUCUUGUCUACCACAACUUGAAAGGCCUUAGUGGUGCUCCUAUCUUCUCCAUGCACCUGUUGCCUUUCCUCCAUAAAUUCAGUAAAUGCCCUGAAUAAAUCAUAGGCACCUACACCUCCUGGUAAUCCAAACCUUAGAUUUUCAUCCCCCUUUUUAACUUAUUGAGGAAAUUAGUGCCUUAAAACUCUCUCAGUGGAAGCACCAAGAUGUCGGGGUAGAGAGGUUUUGCCUCAAGAAAGCGCUGCGCUUCUGGCUGUCACUAAUUGCUCAAUCAAGCUUAAAAUAAGGAAACCCUAAUUUUAUAUAUAUAAGAUCUCCUUUUGGGACAACUACACCAAAUACUUAAGUCUUAAAUAACCAACAACACCCAAAAUAUGGUAGAAGUACUCUAAAACCUUGUAUAUCCUUGUGUGGAAAUUCUCCCAAACCUCAACACCUCAUAACUCUUGAUCCAACCGUCCAAACAAGAUCAAAAUUUAUAUGAAGUACUGAUAUAUUGUUAUUAAUUUUUACAACAAAUUUCAACCGCAAAUUCGUCGCGGAUUUUGAUAUAUCUUCAAAACCCAAACAAUCGCUUCAAACCCUAAUCUUUAUAUACCUACGUGCAAUUUUCUUCAUAUCUCACAAAACAUAAGUCCAAAUGCCACGAAACUUAUAUAAAUAGCUUUUUAACACAAAUUUUUACAUUAUCCGAAAGUUUGAGCCAAAAUUUCGUUCGAAAACUCAAGUAAUGGCUCCUAACACUACUUUGAACAAAACCGCUCACUUACUGCCUUUGAUUUGAAUGCGCUGUCUUUAACUCCCUAUAACUCCUUCACAUAAACUCCAAAUGCAAAAUUUCCUUCACAAAAGAUAUAUGUCUUGAAGUUGCUCUUCUAGCCACACCUUUCGAUCUCCAAAAGCUUCCGUAAGACUCCUCUUAAACUCAAAAGAGUAACAGUAGGUCUCAAAUUGACACCUUAACUUCAAACGGCUAUAACUUAUUCACCCUAACUCCAAACCCUAUAAAAUUUGCACAAAAAUUGUAGCCAAAAUCCUAAACUUUACAACCCUUGCCUCUGAUUUCCUAAUGGCCUCUUUGAAGUCGCCGAAACCCUUAUCAAGGUCGCGGGCAGCCUCCUAAAAGCCCAUUGGGCAUGGAUUUCGACCAAUGGAGAUGAAGAUCCUUAUUUCUACCAUCAUCCAACCAUGCCUUGGUUUCAUCCCUCCCAAUUAACCUCCUAUUAGUUUAAAUCUUCAUCUUUAGGCCCCUAUCUCCUCUCAAGGCUUCAUACUUAACAUUAAGGUUCUAUAACUUUUAUAUACUAUAAUCAAACUAAGGAAAACAAAAUAAAGUUUUUUCAUACCAACUCUUUUUAAUUUAAUCUAUUAUCCACUCUAACAUACAUUUAGAUUUAUUAAAAUUUAUUGUGUUUUAACUAAUUUUUACAUACUAUAAGCAUUUACACUACGGCAAUGUUACUAUAAUUCAAUGGCAACACUAACACCUCUUCAACACAUACACUCUCCUUCUUCUUGAAAGUGCUCCAAAUCAUUCAUAGGUUCUCUUCCUUUUCAUUCUUGAUCCAAAUAUUGAGGUAGAAUUCUUCAAGGUCUUCUANNNNNNNNNNNNNNNNNNNNNNNNNNNNNNNNNNNNNNNNNNNNNNNNNNNNNNNNNNNNNNNNNNNNNNNNNNNNNNNNNNNNNNNNNNNNNNNNNNNNCAUUAUCAUGGACUGUGACUACCACAUAUGAUCCAAACCAUUUUUUUGCAAAUUUCUUUACGGUGCUAUGUUCAUGUUCAAGGCUAUUAUCAUAAACUAAAACCCAGUCUCCAGAUUCUAUAGGCUUAGGCCUUAAUCUAUGAGUCCUAUGAAAUUUUUUUUUUUUUUUGGUUUUUUUUUUUUUUUAACCUUAAUUUUUUUAACCUCUCUAUUGCAAUCUGCAAGUCUUCAGGUAACCUUCUCAAUUGUUGGAUUCGAAGUUCUAACAAUCUUUUCCUAUCAAUGGUUAUCUUUUCAAGAUAGAAACAUCCAUGUAGGAUAUGUUCUUUCAGCUGGCAUCAUAGGUUUUUGUCCUAACAUUAAUUCCAUGGGCAUAUAACGAGUGACAGUACUAUGAGUAGUCCUAUCAGCCCAUAAAGCAAAUGGAAGUAAUUUAGGCCAUUGAAUUGGACUUACCCUUACAUGCCUUGACCAAUGCAUAAAUAAUAGGAGGAUGACCUCUUUCACUCUUGCCAUUGGCUUCAGGAUUAUGGAAAGUAGUCAAUUUCAAAUGAACUCCAUACCUGCUGAAGAAUUCUCUUGCUUUAACAGCAUCCAACUUCCCCCUGUCAGCUCUCAUCCUUCCAAUGCUUCCAUAUCUGCUGAAGAUAUCUUCCAGUAUAAACCUACAUACCGCUUUUGUGACCUUGGUUCUCAAAGCCCUUCCUUCAACAUAAUUUGAUAACUCCUCUCUUGCCAAAAUAAAAUAUUUCAUACCCCAAAGUCCUAAUGGCAUAGCUACCAAAUCAAUCACCCAUUAAAAAUGUAUAGAAGAUGGAUAAGUAGGAUGUAAUCCAUCUCUAUAUCUAACCUUAGAUUGUAGUUGACACUCUGUACAUGAACUUACAAAGUCUUCUACAUCUUUGUAUAGACCCUUCCACCAAUACCUUUCCUUGAUCUUGGUAUAUGUAGCCCAAAAUCCCCUGUAUCCUAUCCAAAGUGUAUCAUGAUAUUCUUUCAAAACUUGAAUUUUAGUUUCAAGAUCUCCUAUUACCUUUAAUGGAAAUUUAUCACCUCUUUUUGGCCUCUUUCAUAAGAAUCUAUCUUUAAGUAGAUAACCAUAGGAUUGAUGUCUAAUAUCUUUGAAGGUCUUAUCCAUCCAUCCUUCUUGCUUCUUUAUUGUGCUCAAGUAAAUUCCAAUAUCCCUCAAUUUGCCUUCAUACAAAUCCUUAUGGAAAAUUUCAGCCUCAUCAUUAAAAUCCAUUCCACCUGUAGAAAAUAAAUUUCCAUAGCUCUUGUCUUCUUGAUCUUCACUCCUUUCAUGAGACACCAUUUCUUCUUCAAAGGUAUAUCUGGCUUUAGACAAUAUGUCUGCCACUAAGUUUUCUUUACCACUAAUAUGUAUUAAAACAGGAUUCAAUGUUCUUACAUAUGCUAUUCAUCUUAGCAUAGCAAUAUCUGGAGUAGUGCAGUUAAUUAUCAUUCCAAGUAAAGAUAAACAAUCUGUUUUUAAAACCACACUUGCUCCAAUCAAAUAAUUCCUUUUAGCCUUUAGAGCAGUGAGUGCUCUCCAAAGCUGUCUUUUAACUUGUGGAUAAGCCCUUUGUCUCUUUGUAAGAAUUCUAGCUCCAAAUCUUAUAGCAAAUCUUCUCCCUUCCAUAUCAUCUUGUCCAAUUGCCCAUCCAAUUGCUAUAGGACUUGUAUCCACUGUUACAAUCACUGGUCUUCUACAUUGAUAAUCUACUUGUCUAAGCACAUGUGGUGACUCAACAUCUUCUUUAGAUUUUCCAUAUCUAUUUCUUGUUCUUUUUCCCAAAUAAAUCUCUUAGGACAGCCCUCCGGCUGUUGGUAGUCAGGCCACGCUGCGCUCCGUGUUAACAAAACCUUUUUUCUNNNNNNNNNNNNNNNNNNNNNNNNNNNNNNNNNNNNNNNNNNNNNNNNNNNNNNNNNNNNNNNNNNNNNNNNNNNNNNNNNNNNNNNNNNNNNNNNNNNNAUUAUGGCAUCAAUAUUAUAUUAUCUUAAAUUUUUUAAGGCAUUUCUUAUAGAAACAAAUAAAUUGAACUUUACUCUAGAUAAAGUAUUGUUACAAAUGGAAGCAAAUGAUAAACUUUAUUUUUUAGUUUUUUAUUUUCUAUUUUUUAAUAUCCAAGAUUAAUUAAGAAAUCAACAAUAAGAUUUUUUUUGUGAUUAUAGAUUCAUUACAAUAAUAGUAUCAUUACUUGAAUGGCUUUUUUAGCAUAAUGAUUUUUUAUACAAAGUAAAGAACUUUACUUAUUUUAUAUCUGCAUAUUUUUGAAUUAUUGUCAAGUUUAUUAGAUAAUUUAUUUUUUAAUAUUUGUGUUCAAAAUCAAAUAUAUAUAUAUAUAUAUAUAUAUAUAUACAUAAAUACAUAUAUAAUGUUUAAUCAACAAAAAAUAAUUAUUUUGAAGCUAGAGCAAUUUCAUCUUUGAAAAAAUGAAAUCAAUAUUUAUAGUUGAUUUAACAUUUUUUUAUUAAGUUGAAUCAAGUAUGUCCUUAAAUCCUCUUGUUUAUGAUAUUAAGUAUAUAUUUUUUAAAAAAACUUAAGAUACUUCUAAGUUUGAAUUUAAAAACAAUCUUUUCUAUUUUAAGGAACAUUAAUAUAUUUUAGAAGAUGAAGUACAAUUACGUAAUUUUCAAGCUCAUCUAAAUUUUCUUGAUACAAAAUAUUUUCAAUACAAUUAGACUAUUAAAUUUAUCUCAUAAUGUUUUUGGUGGUUUCAAAUGUAAAAUGUAGUUAAAAACUUUGUACAAUCAUGAGAUGUUUGUUCAAGAUGAGAAACUCCUUAUCAUUAAUAUUAUAGACUUUUCCAACCACCACCUACUUUAAAAAAACCAUGAUUGUUUGUUUUGAUGGAUUUUAUUAAAGAUCGUUCAAUCUUAAGCUCUUUUGAUUCCACAUUUUGAUAGUAGAUUGAUUCACUAAGAUGGUAUAUUUUGUACUAUAUACAAAAACUAUAAUAAGUGAUAAAACUACUAGACUCUUUUAAAAAUAUUUGUUACUAUCAUAAAUUACCAAAAAAUAUUAUAUGAGAUUAAGAGAUUUAAUUUUUAUUUAGAUUUUGGAAUUUUUUUAAAGUAUUAAAGAUAGAUGCAAAAGUAUCUUUGAUCUUCCAUCUUUAAAAAAUUGGACAAAUAAAAUACAUGAAUCAAGUAUUAGAGUAAUAUAUGAAAUAUAUAAUCAAUUACUAUCAAGGUGAUUUGACAAUUCUUUUGCCAUAUGUAGAGUUUCUUUUUAUAAUAAUAUAAUAUUUUUUAAAAUUUAAUAAUAAAAAAUUUAUAUUAAUUAUGAUUAUCAUUCUUUUGACUUUGUAAAGGUUGAUAAUUCUCUAACAAAAGAUUUUACAAAGCUACAUAGGACAAUGAAGGUUUAAUAAAUUGAACCUCAAGAAUAAUAAAAGAUCAACAUAUGUAUCUAUUGCAAGUAACAAUUUUAAUACUAAGUUGGCAAUAAAGUAUAAUUAUUUUGUUGUAAUAUUAAGACUAUUUAUUCUUAUAAUAAGUUGUUCAUAAUAAACUUAGAUAAUUUUUUAUUUAUAAAUAGAUCAAUUCAUUGCAUAUUAAUUUUAUUCCUACCAAAGUCUAUAAAGAUCUAUCUUUUAUUUCAUGUUUCUCUUUUUAAGCCAUAUAAGAGAGUAGAUGUAUUAAGAAAGAGACAUAUGUCACUUCAUCUUAUGAAAGUGGAUAAUAAUUAAGAAUUUAAAGUAGAAGAUAUCUUGAAUUCAACACAAUGCCAAAAUAGUUGAAAAUAUCUUAUUCAUUGGUACAAAUAUGAUAUUAGUAAAUGCAUAUAGAAGCCAUCUAAGAAUCUUGUAGAUGUAUAUAGAAGUUUGAUACUUUUUGUUUGUCACAUCUAUCAUAAUUAAGAUAAAAAGGCAAAAACGACUUUUGUUAUAAAGUAAAUAUAUUUAACAAACAUUGCAUUUUAUCUUCUAUCAUUAUAAAUGGUUUUUAUGCAUAUGUGGCAUUGAAGUGAUGGAAGAUUAAUAACUAACAAAUCCACUCGAGACCUAUUAUUUAUUGAAUUAAAAGACAAUGCAUUACAAUUAUCUUAACCUUUAAGAUAUUGUAUUACAAGUGAAGAUCUUCAAAAAUGACAUGUUUUUCUUUGAAUAGAUAGCAAGAUAUAAUACAUUUGAUAUUAUAACAUUGCAAGAGAAUUUUAAUGUUUAGUAAUAUUGUUAGAAGUGAAAACCAAUCACAAGAAUAUUUUUAAUGUUUUACUUAAAGAAAGUAAUAAAAACCUCAAUAAUGAUUAAAUAAAAAAGUAUUUAUUCUUUUCCUAACAUAAGAUACUACCAAUGGUUGAGAGAGCUUAUUAACUAUCUAAUAAAACAAAGAUCAAAGUAUAUAGUUAAUACAAUUUUCUACAUCUUAGAUUUCUUCAACAUGCAAUGACAUCUCCUUGUGGAAUUCAUCCUUUCAAGAAGACAUAAUAUCACAAAUAUUAACAUUUUUAUUAGUAAUUAAAAAAAUAAGAAGAAUUAGAUAGAAAAAAAAGUAAUUAAAUUUAUAAAUAUCUUAUAAAAAAAACUUCUUAGAAGUAUUAUAGACGUGGAUUUUAUUCUAUAAGUAGUUCUAGGCAAUUGGUAGGUUAAAAAUUUAGUCAAUAAGUUAGCUACAUUUUCACAUGUUAGCCACUUAUAUUAUAAGUUGACUAUUUGGCCUACAUAUAAGAAACUUGUCUUGCAAGUUGGAUAUAUGACUUGUAAGUAGGAUACAAAUCAAAUAAUUAAUAGAUUUUUUUUGCAUGCCUAUUAGAUUAGAAGAAUAAAGAAAGAUACAUGAAUGAGGCUUUUUUUAUUUUUGUCAAUUCUUUUCUUGGAUUCUAGUUUUUUCUUAAGAAUAUCUAGUUUUUUUGUAAUUGGAAAAAACCAUUCUACUUUCUAAUUUAUAUUUAUCUUUGAAUUACCUAUAUUUAUUUUAAAAUGUAACAAGAGUAUAUUGCUCCUUUAAAAAAUAUAUAUAUACAUAUUCUUAAUAAUUUAUUAAGUUUAUUUAUUUAAAAUAUAAUACUUUAUUUUAAAAAUUCUAAGAAAAAUAUUUAAAAAUAUUUAAAUUUCAUAUAUACAUAUAUAUAUAUAUAUGUGAAUUAAUAAAAUAAAAUUAUUUUUAUUUAAAUAAAUAAAUAUAUAUAUUUAAUAUUAUUUAGAUGUUUUAAUUAUAGAUAUAGAAUGAACAUGAAUGAUUAUGAUUUAGAAGCUACUAAAUAUAAGAUAGUAGAUUUAUUUAGGUUGUGAAUUGUAAAAACUCAUUUUCAUAUAGUUAAAAAUAAUUUUAAUUUUUAAUUUUGUAAAAAUUUUAUUAUUAAAAUUUUUGAAUUUAAUUGUAUAGCUAUCAAUCUUUUAUUAAAUUAAAUUAUUCAAAAAUACCAAAAAAUUUUAAUAUUUAAAAAUAUCUAUUUCAUAAAUUAAAGUUAAAUAUUAAAUAAUUAAUUUUUUAAAUAUUAAUAUACUUAUAAUUAAAAAUUAGAGAGAGGUUUUUAAUAUUUUGAGAGUAAAGAUUGUUAUGAUGAUAUCUUGCUAAAUUAUAAUUUUUAAUAUAUAUAUAUAUAUAUAUAUAUAUAUAUAUAUAUACAUAUAAAUUAUAUUAAAAAUUAUAAAGAAAAAUAAAAAAUUUCACUCAAUAAUUAUUCAUAUAUAUAUAUAUAUAUAUAUAUAUAUAAUUUAAUAAUUAAAUUAUUAAAAUAAAAUAAAAUAAAUAUUUUAAAAUAUCAAUGCAAUGAAUUUGAUAUUUAUUUUAUUAUAUUAUUUAAAUAAAAAUAUUAAAUUAUUAUAUAUUUAUUAUUACAUAUUAUAAAUAUUAAAUUAAUUAUAUUUAAAUAUAAAUAUUAAAUUGAUACAAACAAUUGUUACAUUUAUCCAUCCAUCCUAUCCAUCAUAAUAUUGUGUAUCCCUUGUUAUUAUUUUUAGUCCUUGUCUUUGGUCUUGAUCCCUAUUUCCCUCCUCUCUUCAUCCUUCUAUCAUUUUUUAUAUUGUGUACCAUGGUUCUCUGGUUUAUUGGAAGGGACAAACCCCUUGCACAAAAGCCACACACCCUGGUCUUUAAUGCAAUUUAUAUUUCAGUUAUUGUCUCCAUUAUGCUUCUCUUUUGGCCUUCUUUGUAUCUUGUGAUAUUUUCAUGUUUUUUGAGGAUUCUUCUUUAGAUAUAAUUUAUUUCUUUUUCAUGCAUGUCUUAUUAAAAUGUUUAUAUAUUUCUAACAUGUAUGUCUUUUUUAGUUGCAAUUGUAUAUAUGAACAAAAUCACAUGCAUUUAGUAUAAAGAAGUACAUUUAUUUGUAUUUAUAUACACAUUUAAAUGAUUUUAUAACAAAAAGAAUUUAAAAAAAUAAUAAUAAAAAUGGUGGAGGUUGAGACAAUUCAAAACAGCCAUCUAUAAUUAAGAAAGCAAUGUUAAGAAUUUUUAGGUCAUAGACUUGAUAAUAUCCUAGUGGAAUCUAGCAUAUCAAUAAAUAAAUAUAUAUAUAUAUAUAUAUAUAGUGUCCUAUUAAUAUAAGUUUUAAAAAAUCUUAUAAAAGAGUGUUAUUAGUAAUAUGGUUACUUAUGUCUAUGUUGGUUGAUGUAUAUAUAAUCAAUCAAUCAAUCAAUCAAAAAUAUAUUUAUUAAAAAAUAGAUAAGUCAAUAUUGAUAAUAUCAAUUAAAAAUGUAUAAUGGUAAUAAGAAUAAAUACACAUAUGACAUUGUAAACUUACAAAAACCUGAUAAUUUCAAAGAAUUAUUUUCAUACUUAAUGACAAAAAUCACCUCUAAAUAUUACUAAAUUUUUAAACACUCUUUGUUGUAUGAUUAAAAAUACUAAAGAUUUUAUUUCGAAUUAGUAUUGUUAUAAUUUAUUUUAUUAGUAAUAAUUUAUAAUAUUUUUACUUUUAAAUUUAUUCAAAAAAAUAUUUUAUAAAUAGAAUAGUAAGAAUUUACUUUUUGUAUUACCUAAACAAUACCAAAAAAUUUUACUUCACUAUAGUUAGCACUUCUGACUAACCAAUAAUAAAAAAUACUUUAUGUAAUUAUUUAAAAAAUCAAUUUUUUUUUACUUUCAUUCAUUACAAAAAGGUUUGAAAUUGUAGGGUGGAUUUUUUAUUCUUUUUAUAUCUUGUACACAAAUGGGAAGCAAAAUUAAGAUAGGAGACAAAAGCUACAAAUGAAAACACGUGCUACAAAUGGGAACAAGGGAUGGAUAUUGAGAACAAAAAUACGAGACAGUGUUGUGUUGUGACACAUCUAAUUGAUAAAAGAGAGUAAUAAACAAACAAAAUAAGCAAACAAACAAACAAACAUUAUAGACGAUUAUAUGUCAAAAUCAUUAAAUUUGUUUACAACAACUAUGCAAAUUUUGAAAGCAUUGGAAUCCAAUUAAACAUUGGAAUCAAGAGAUUGGCACUAAAAAAUCAACAUCAUGGUUGAAAACAGAGGCCUGUUGACACCAAAGCAAAAUAUGAGGUGACCCCCCUAUUUGAUAAGUUAGAUCCCUUAAUAAUUUAUGGUACUUGUUUAUAGGCCUGUUGACACCAAAGCAAAAUAUGAGGUGACCCCCCUAUUUGAUAAGUUAGAUCCCUUAAUAAUUUAUAGUACUUGUUUUCAACUAAGAGAUUGAAAGAUGUGCAAAUUUUGAAUCAAGAAAAAUAAUUAAAUUAUUACUUAUUUAUGUUUUGAAUUUGUUAUAGGAACUUAUUAAGAAUUAGAUAAGAUCACUUCAGAUUUAUUUAGGAUUUGAUUAGGAUUUAGAGAUUAAAAUUUGAUUAGGUUUUGAUAACAAAAUUUUAAAAAUUUUAAUAAGAUAUAGUUAAGGUUUGAUAAGAAUUUGACUAAAAUAUAAUAGGAAUUUAAUUAGAACUUCUUUAGAAUUUCAUUAAGAUUUAGUUGAGGUUUAAAAUUAUAGAUUUUAUAGAUUUUAUUUGAAACUAAUUAUAAUAUAAUAAGGUAUUUAACAUGAUUUUAAAGUUAAAAAACUUGAAAUUCAACGUUUGAGUUUUAAUCCAAAUGUUAAUAUAUUACAUACUUUAAACUAUGAAUCUAAAUUUAUUUCAUUUAUUUAUUUAUUUAUUAUUAUUAUUAUUAUUAUUAUUAUUAUUAUUUUUGAUAUUUUAAAUAUAUAUAUAUCUAAAAUUAGUUAUAAAAAAUUAAUAUAUAUAUAUAAGAAAUGAAUAAAAUAAAACUUUAUGUGUUUUUUAUUCCUUAUGUCAAAUUUAUUAUUAUUUUAUAAAAAAAUUACUAAAAAUAUUUUAAAAAAUAAUAUUACAUAAACAGUGCGUCUAGUGUUUUUAGAAUCAAAUUUAAAGCCUACAUACGGUUUUUAAAAUUUAGCCAAAAAUCAAACUACCUCUAUUUUAUAAAAAAAUGUUUUAUAAAACAGUAACUGUACUUUUAUUUAUUAUUUUUAUUUAUUAUUUACAAAUUUCAUUAAAUUUUAAAUAAUAGAUAAGUAUCUUUAAUUUUAUUAUUAAUUAAAUUGGAAUUAAAAAACUUGUUGGUCAUGUGAAAAUGUUACAGUUGUGUUAGCUGUGUUGUGGCUUGAAAAUCAUUCUAUCUCCAUAAGCAAACAUGUUAAUUAUUAUUAUCAUUAUAAUUUUAAUAAUUUUAUCCAAAAUUAAUCAUAUAUAUAUAUAUAUAUAUAUAUAUAUAUAUACAUAAAAAAUAUUUUUAUAUUUUAAUAAAUUUUUCUUUUUAUUUUUUAUUUUAAUAUAUAUGUAUAUAUAUUAAAUAUCUUUAAAAUUUUGUAAAUAAAAAUUAAUCAUAUUUCUUAGAAUAAAAUAAAGUAGAAAUAAAUGAAAGUAUUAUGAUGAUUUUCGAAAAUAAAUCUUAUUCAAUCACUUUCCAAAAAAAUCCAAAUUUUACAAAAUUACAAUAUUAUCAAUUUAAAUUACGAAAUAUAAUUUAUCCAAUUAAUAAUACAAAAGUGUUCUUUUAUUACAAUUCAUCACAAAUGAAUUGAGAUAAAUAAUAGUUUCGAAGAGGGAAAUCAAAAUCAUAUAGAUAGGAACCAAGUUCUGAAUUUUACACCAUAAUAAGAACUUUUCUUUUAAUUAAGAUAUGUUACAAUUUAAGUGCGUGAAAAUUCAAGCAGCUAAUCGUCCAAAACUUUUCAGAGUGACUCCAAAAAUACAUUUAUUACAAUUUUUUCUUAAUUAUUAACAUUAAUUUUUUCUAUGGCCUAGUUAGGAAACUAUAGUUUGAUUAUAAAUCUUGUUUGUAGGCAACAUAAGAAGAAUUAAUGACAUACUCAGCUAAAUUUAGGCGAAAGUUACUUCAAAAAAACUUUCUUCCAACCAAAUAUAUAGAAUUAUGCACUAAAACAAGAUUUCUGAGUAGAACAAAAUAAUGUGUGGUCUACAUUAUGCUUUUGUAUAGUGACUACGUACUUUUUUCUUUUAUGUGAAAAAGUUGUGGCAAUAGAUACAUGAAGAUGACAAGUUAUUACUCACAUAGGCAUUCAUUGUACUUUAUGCUCUCUACAAAAACUUAAGACCAUAUUACAUAGAUUUUGGAAGUGCCAAAAAGCUUAUGAAAUUUGGGAUCGGACCACCUCAAUCUUACAUAAACUGAUAUCAAAUCCUAAAAAAUGGGAUCCCUGAAAUGUAUUUUUGUAUAAACAAUAUAUUUUUACUAAAUCCUGUGCAAUUUAAAUGUUUUUGUAAAAUUUGGUUAUUUCUAAGAAAUAUUUGUUUGUAGACCAUUUAGAUUUAAAGAAAUAAUCUUGUCUUUGAAAAGAAGAUGGAGUGACAUCCAUGAAAAAAAUGUUCUUUAGAGGCUUAAUAGAGUAUGGUCAAAUUAAUUAGUUAGCCAUCAAGAAGAUUUUUUUAAAAAAUAAAUUGAAUAAAAAUAAAAAAUAAAAAUAAAAUGAGCACAAGACUACUCUCUUCAAUAAAUGGAACAAACCAUAGAUGAAAAAACACCUACCUGAUACCAAAAUGAUCAAGGUACUUAAUGGAAUUUUAGUACACCCCAAUGUGGCUUGAUAAUAUACAAAAAUGUUAAUGUUGAGUUAUUAGUAACUUUACUUAGAACUCUUACUCUACCUAAGAGAUAAGUUGUUUGUGUAUCCUCUUAUGUUUUUGUAGACAGUAUAAAGUUUCUCUAUCAACGCAAAGGAAACACCCCAUUUUUGCAUCAAAACAAAUUAAAAAUCAAAAACAUCUCUCACAUCAACUGCACAAGAUAUAUCCGCCAAGAUUCGAACUCAAGACCGCCAAAAAUAAACCCUUGGAAGCGAUGGUGACCUGGGCAACUUCAGGGUGAUCGAUCAGACACGCGGUCCAGGAAGGCGGCAGUGCGCGGGGGGGGGGGGGGUCCCAAGCGAGGUGACCACGCUUCCACACUUACCCGAAUACCGGACACGCGGGGCAGUCUUGGGUCGUCCCUAGAGGCUGCGGGAAAAAACCUGAGCAUUCCGCGACGGAAACGGCCCCCAAACCAGGAGGCCUCCGGAGGAGGGAGGGAGGGAUAUAAAAAGGAGGCCAAAGGGGCAAGGCAAGGGGGAAGGGGCCAGGGCAAGGUAUUAAAAAGGAACCCAAGCCAAGGGGGAAGGGGGAAGUGGGUGAAUGGGGCAAAACGCCCUCGAAUGCUGGCAGGGCUCCCCACUCUCCCUGUUACCAGCUCCCCUAGUUGGGGCAGAGGGGACAAGCAUCGUGACCCGCUUCCCCGCAUGUUGCUGCUGUGCGGCACCCCAAUGCCCACCUAUUUUUGGCGCUCCUCCACCCCAGCUCAUAAUUCCCCUCGCUCAUUAUUAGCAACGUAGUUGGCUGCCACUGGGGCCCCCAACUGUCUUCGACACCUCCAUCCUCCUCCUCCCCCUCCUCUCCAUGUCAUGCCAACGUGAACUUGACGAGGAGGAGGCGGCCCGGCACAGAUCAAGUUUCCAAAUGCGGCGUUGGAGUCUUGAUUCCUUUUAUCUGCCCAGGAUGGGAGUGCAGGGUUGUCUGGGCUGACCUCCAAAUUUUCGUUGCGCGCGAAGCUUGACAGAAACUCGGUCUCGCUCGCUGUCUCUCUCUCCUCCUUAGAUUAUCCAAACAUAUCUAUUGUCUAAUUACUCCUGCAAUGUCAGAGAUCAAGUGAUGACACGAGAAACGCCAGCCAAACGUCAACUUUUUGCGUGGCAGAUGGGCCCAUGCUGCAACAACGCCUCCCGCUUCCGAAAGCCUUUCAUCCUUCUGUGAGAUUCUAUUAUGUGUGCAGGAAUUCUGUACCACAUAUAGAUGAGGAGUUCUUCUUUCUUCGUUCCUUCCUUCUUUCCUUCCUUUCUGUGUUUUUACCUUUUGUGUUAGAAAAGGGUGGAUACUUUGCUAUUCUUCCAAGUAAACUUCCUGUUCUAAAACUUCAACGCUUCAGAGGAUAUCAGUCAUCCUUUGCGUCCACGUCAUCCGGAUCGCAAGACAGCACAGCAAGUGCCCAUAUUUGCUUCCUGGAUUAGUGACCUCAUCCAAAUUCCUCCGGUGAUUCCUGAUUAAACACCACCUCCACCGUGCUGCACUCCCAGUAUGCUUCCGAUACAACGAUCACCGGUCCUCUCAUCUAUUUGAGCAAUUAGAAACCCUCGGAGUGGUCUCACUGCUAAAAGUCGACUUCGCAAUUAGCAAGGAGCAUCAUUAUGCGAGCUUCUAGUCCUGAAGAGCUACAGAAUCCUUCUUGUUAUCAGUUACGAUUCUCCUGCUCCAUGUACGGCAUGCUGUUAUUUAACUAAUUAUACGGCAACUCAUCCAGUUUGCUUACUAACUUUGAUACAUAUAUUUCUAUAUACAUACUCACACACACACAUAGACUUAUAUAUUCAAUUAUUGACCGGGCUUUCGUGCACCGGAAUAUCCUUCCCUGCCCUGACCUGCACACCAAGCACCAACUCCACCUCCAUGGUUCACUGGAUUCACUGUUUCGUUUCACCUCAUCACCCGUUCCAGAAAUCACACGCUCAACGUCAAGCUCUUCACACACCUACCCACCCAUCCACACAUCGGUCCAUCCGUCCAUUCGUCCGUGUGUUUAUGGAUUCACCCACAAUUCAAGCAGUGAUCCGUGGGAUUCUGAGCUCUCAUGCACUGGUGGCUCCACCCGCCAAUACUCCGGCAACAAUUCCGGUUGAUCGGCCAGCUAUGGAGUAAAAUACGUGUUAACAUCGGGCAGAUAAAUCAGGGUAAGACGAGAUCCUCGCAAAACCAAGUGUCGACUCGCGCAAGGCACCAAAGAUAGAAAAUUUCUGAGCUGUAAGGGGGGGGGGGGGGCAUGAAGGGGGGAAAGGAGGUAGCCAGGGGUAGCCUGGAUUGUGUGGCAUCGGGCAAUCGUCACCUUGCGAAUCUUGCGUCUCAGUUACCCAUACUUCCAGGAGAAGGAGGAGAGGAGGAAACCGGGGCCUUGUCUGUCUGUCUGGCCCUGAACCCCCAUAUACUACUGUGGCUGUAGCUCUUGUUUGACAGGGCUCUGGGUUUACAGCAACGACCCAGCACAGCUCAGGCCACCAAUAAUCCAUUCCAGGUGCUUUGCUGAGAGACACCAGGAUAUGCAUCUCUACCACUGUGCCCACAAAUGCUUAACCUCGCUUUCAAGGGCUCGGAUGAUUGACGGAGUGAGUGCCCAGGGACACGGCCUCCUGGUUCACGCACCUCACUUGCUUGUGUGAGUUUGAACGUGUAUAAGUGUCUAUAUUAUACUGGUAAUAAUAAUAAUAAUAAUAAUUGUCAUAUUGAGGAGAAUGGGUGUCCAUGUACAGGGAGGGGAUGAUUCAAGACCGAGAACAAUUAUGAAGAUGUUCACAUAAAAUUAAAUAAAAUAAAAUAAACAAACAAGUUUCUUGGACCAAAUCGAUCCUUAAUAUCAUGUCAACUUUAGCAUUUGGAUAAACUUGGGAGUAUUCUCUAACAACAAUGAAUUAUGUCGUGGUCCCAAAUCAACAAGAAUACUUCUUUUUUUAAUAUUUAAUUCAAAAAAAUUGGACACAAUAGUAAUCAAUCUCACAAACUUAUGUGCAAUUUGUAAAAAGUUAAAGCAAACCAAAAUAAACAACAUAAUUCCUUGUUUACUCUAAUUGAUUUUUUUUUUUGUUCAUUUUUUGUAAGUAUAAAAUAUUCUAUCUAUACAUCUAUGUAAAUUAAAAUUUAAAAUAUUGAUUUUAUGAUAUGAUUUUUUAGGUGUAUAUAUUAAAUUGAUUCAUCUAAAUCUUAUAUCAGCCCACUAUCAAUAAAAAUACAAUUGUUCCUUCCACCAGAACAAGUAUUAAUCAUUUUCAUUAAUUAGCAUCUUCAAAAACUUAUAUUCUUGUUACAUAUCUCUUCCUAAUCCUUCUGCACAAUUCACUAACUUUUCUACAAUGUAACAUUACUAAUCUCUCUUGUUUUUUUUAUCUUUGGAGUUGCUCCAUUAUAGCCCUUUCUAGAAGUUUCAUUAUCUACCCUUCUCACUCCUUACAAAAUCAACACAUCAUCUAGUGCAAAAUUGAGAGAUCAACAAGGGAAUACAAAGUCCUAUACAAUGCAAUAGAGAACAAGAAGAGCGAAGUGGAGACAACUGGAUUAGUUUAAGUUUGAAGAGGUUCAAUUUACAAUUCCAUAUUUUAAAUAUAUUAUUAACUUGGUUUUCAUUUAUCUUUAGAAUUUAGAAUUUUAUUAGGUUUUUUAAAUAAAAAACAAUUUAUAAUAAAAAUAUUUAAAAUAAAUUAUUUUAUUCUUUUUUAAUUAAAAUUUUAAUUAGAAAAAACUACUUUUUAUACUAUAAAAAUUGAAGAAUAUAAAAUCUUUGUAAAAUAUAAAUAACAGAGAAAUUGACUAAACAUGUUUUGGAUUUCCUUGUAACAUCCUACUUUUCGAGGAAUAUAAGUUAAAUAAUAAUUAUUUAAAAUAUUACAUAAUCGAUUAUACUAUACUAUGUAAAAAUAAUUCUAUCAAAACAUUUGGCUUUGUAAAUCUUUAAUUAAGAAAUUCAUAAAUGAAUAACCAUUGAAAAACUAUAUAUUCUAAGAAAUUUAUAAUUUAGUAAGAUCUUAAUAUCAUUAAUCCAAUUUUUGAAAAUUUGCAUGUACUCAUAAUUUUUUUUUUUUUUUCUAUUUUUCUUUUUUUUUCAUACAAUGAAACAAGUAUAAUUCUCAAUCAACAGAUUGUAACCAUAACAAAGUCUACAUCACAGUUUGAUUUUAUCUUCUACAACAUCAUGGAAUAUUGCACAACAUCAUGGAAUAUUGCACAACAUCCAUAAGUAGCUCUAGAGAAUUUUAUAAUAUAUUUUUAACACAUAAUAGUAAUAAAUAAGAUAUUUUGAAUUUUCCCAUUCAAAAUAAUAAAUUAGAUCAACAUAAUUUAGAGAAUAAAAAUCUUAAAAUAUUAUGCAAUCUUACAUAGGCACAAUCCAUGGUUAAGAUGCCAUAUUCCAUAUAUAUAUAUAUAUAUAUAUAAUUCUGGAUAAACUUUGUUAAUAGCAUAUACUUAAGUUGCAAUUACUGUAUGAGCAGUGGAUGGUGACCAAAUCUUAUUCACAAAAUCUUACCAAGACACAAAUUUCAAUUGGUUUUUGAAAAAACUGGUUAUUCUAAAAAUAAUUAAGUGAAAAGAAACCAUUUAAUGUAACAUAAUAUAAUAAUACAUUAUAAUUUAGAAUAAAAUCAUGAUUGUUAUGUACAAUAUUUUCAAUAGGAUAAUAAAUUUCCAAGUGAGAGGAUGAGAUUCAUUAGAUUUGGUGGUGGAAUAUCACUGAGUAUAACAAAUUAAUUUUAGACCUUGCAAUUAGUAAUUAACUGUUGAAAAUAUUCAAUCUUCCAGAACAUAUAUUCUGUUUAGAAAAAAUACGUAUUUAAUUUCAAGAAAAUCUGAAAUAAAUCUAUUGUUGAAAAUCUUUUCUACCUUAUCAGAAUCAAUCUAAACAUAUGGCAGCGUUCAAUAAUGUCACAGGAUAAUAAUAAACUUUCAUAGUUCAGCCUUCUGUGAUCAGUACUUACAAUUUGGGCUGAAAUUUUAAUAUAAUAUGAGAAUCUGUCUUUAAUGUAAUUUUAUUUAUUUAAUAAAAAAAUAUUAAAUAAAACAAAAAGUAUAUACAAACGUUUGAUUGUAGAUAGUAUCCUUCAAUUUGAACACUGCUGAUGAAAUACAUAAUUGAAACUUUUAGUAUAUCCAGUUGAUCCUUUGUUAUCCAAUCCUUCAUAAGCCAAUGUCCAAUACAAAUCAUGCUCCACCAAUUGCAUUCAUGUAUUCUAAAUUGAUACCCUUUGAUAUCCGAUAGAAUUUUUAAGCAUGUGUCAUGAAAUCCAUUUAAAGAGGGUGUAGAUGAAGGCCAACAAAAAUUGUACUCUACAAAGGAUAACUAAUAGAUUCUAUAAUAUAAGUGAUGCAUAAAACCAAUAAGUAAUUACAAUUGGAACUAAAGUCAAGAAUUGAGUGAAGUGAGGUGCUUUUUUUUGGCCUCUCAAUGUAUGUUCAAUUUGCCAAGCAAUAUUAUUGGCUAUAAGAUGGGAUGGAAUUGAAAGAUUAAAGAUCUUAACAAAUCUUUGGCAGACAUCUAUUAUAGACAUACAUAUUUAUCUUGAUAAUUAUCUAGAUAAUAAGAAUAGGUAGAAGUAAGUCAAAGUAGAUAAAUAUGAUAUUAUGUUGUAGAAAGCUUCCUAGAAGCUUCACAAAUGUUGCUUUGCCUUUAUACAUAUCUAUAGGUGAUUGGUAGGUUGAAAACUUGGCCAACAAGGAGGCCACAUGUUGGCAUAUUGACCAUUUGUAGUACAAGUUGGACAUAUAGCGCACACCUAGGAAACUUGCCUUGCAAAUUAGACAUGUGUCUUGCAUGUUGGAUGCAUAUUAGAGGUCCUAUAGCAUGUCCCCAUAUAUUUUUUACUUAAGUACUAUAUUUGGAGGCAAGAGUGAGGCCUUCUUCGCUCUUGUCAACUCUUUUCUUACUUUUAGUCUAGUUUCAAGAGUCUUAUGUUUUCCAGUCUUUGACAAUAGCCAUUCCAGUUCUUCUUUGAAUAUACAUACUUUCUUUUAUUUUGACACAGAUUCCACGACUUUAUGCAUCUUCUUCAAGUUUGUGUCUUUGACAGAUUGAUAAGAGUAUACAUACACUAUCAGAGCUUUGUCUUUUCUUGAUUAAAAAUGGAUUAUCCCUUUCUCUUAAUAAGACAUAUACAUAUUAGAAGUUGUGGAUUAUCUUCUUUUAAACUGAUAAUGUUUCUAAAAAAUUAUUUUUUUGAUUCUUGAGUAUUGUAUUAUAUGAGAAUAAACAUCUUUUUUUUAUUGUACUAGCAUGGCAGAGCUUGUUAAAAUAAAGAGUGCAAUGGCUCAAAUGUAAGAGCAAAUGAGAGAGUUAAUACUUGCACUGCAUCAACUUAGUAUACUACCACAAAGAACAACAAGAUUAUCAGGCAAUGAAGAUAUAAAAAUGAUUGGAGUUGCUUUAACAUCUAUACCAAGCUAUAUUAUUGCUCCUACAAUGGAACAUUGUUCAAAUUUCAAAGAACCAAAAAUUAGAUUGCCUAAGUAGUUUGAUGGCACAACAUCUAAAUUUUGAGGAUUCAUCAAUCACGUACAAGUAGUGAUUGAAUUACAACCUCAAAGUUAUCCAACUCAAGGAUCACAAAUCAAGUUUAUUGGAAUACUACUUUCAAAUUUUGCUUUAUCAUGGUUUUCAUCAUUUCUUGAACAACGUGAUCUGAUAUUGGAUAAUUUGGAAGCAUUUUUAGAAGAGUUUUGAUCUAUGUACGGAGAACAUGAUGCAAUUCGUAUUGCAAUCAACAAGAUUCAUAUUUUGGGAUAAUACAAUUGAUCAAUGAUAUUAUACGCUUCAUAAUUUUGAUAGUUAGUAACAGUUAUUAAGUGGGAUGAUGCAACACUCAUCAGCCAAUUUCUUUAUGGAUUAUAAUAUGAAGUAAAGAAAUUGAUGCUCAAUUUACCUAAUUCUUAGACAUUAAGUGAAACAAUUGACUUUAUUGUGAAAUAUGACAUUUGGCUUUUUGAGUUUUGAUUUGAGAAUUGCACAAGAGAACCUCAAUAUUAUUACAAUUCAAUGACGACACCAACGGCUUCUCAAUAUAAAUAUUUAGAAAUAAAAGACAUGCAAAUUGAUGCAGUAUGUUUUAAACUUCUUACUAAAUAAGAAAAGACUCGUCAUUGUCAAGGAGGACUAUGUUUAUAUUAUCGAGAAGCUUAGCAUACUCCUCAAUGUUAUCCAAAAAAAUGAUGCAACUAUAAAAUGAAGAGUAUUCAUGUCAAAGAUGAAAACAUGUUAAAAAAUGAAUUUAUCCAGCUAUAAUAAGGAUCGUACAGCUGGAAUCUUGUACAAUUCCUAAUGAAGGUCCUAUUCUCUCCUCAGUACCUUCUCUUUGUUUUACAAUAGAUAUAUGUUUAGGAUCUAAUAAUCACAAAGUUUCUAUCUUAAUAGAUUCAAGAGCCUCAUCUUAUUUUUUAGAUGAAGAAUUUGUUAAAAGUCAUAAUAUACAAUUAGUACAAAAAAUUAAACCCGUACAUGUAGAAGUCAUAGACAAUCCUCUUUUAUCUUCUAGAGAUGUUACUCAUAAAACACUGCCUAUAGAUGUAGUAAUAAAUGGUCAUAAUAAUUGUAUUAUUUUUAAUAUAAUUAGAUCUCCUUCUAAUCUAGUCAUUUUAGGUUUAUUGUCGCUAAAAAAGUAUAAUCUUGUAAUAGAUUGGAUUUCUCAAAAACUUGAAUUUUUUCAAACAUCAUUAAAAGUUUUUCCAAUCCAGUAGAAAGUCAUGAGUCUAGUAUAGCCAAACCUAUACUUGUAAAUGUAAAAAUUUUGUUGCAUGGUGCAAAAGAAGGAUCAUCUUUUGUUAUUUAUGCCACACUCAUUUUAAAUGAUGGAAAGAUUUCAAGUAAAAUUCCAAGUCAAUAUCAAGAUUUUUAAGAUGUUUUUGAGAAGAAAAAUGCAAAUAUUCUCUUGGAGCAUUGUCCAUAUGAUUGCUCAAUCAAUCUUAAAGAAUGAACUCAACUGCCAUUUGCUCCAAUCUAUAGUUAAUUACAAAAUGAAUUGGCUGAACUGAAGAAGUAUAUUGAUGAAAACUUGGCCAAGUAUUUCAUAUAUCAUUCAAAAUCUCUAGCAAAAACUCCUAUCUUACUUGUAAAGAAAAAUGAUGGAUUACAGUGAAUGUGUGUAGAUUAUCGAGGACUCAACAAGAUUACCAUCAAAAAUACUUCAUGUGCCUUUGAUAUCUAGACCUCAUGAUCAAUUAAAUCAAGCUAAGAUCUAUAAAAAAAUAGAUCUAAAAGGAAUACUCAAUCUGAACUGGAUUAAAGAAAGAGAUGAAUAAAAGACUACAUUUCAAACAAGAUAUGGACACUUUGAACAUAAUGUCAUGCCUUUUAGAUACACAAAUGUACCAACUGCUUUUCAAUAUCUUAUGAAUGAUAUUUUUUGUGAGUUUUUAGAUGAUUUUGUUGUCUGUUACUUAGAUGACAUUUUAAUCUACUCUAAGAAUGUAAAAAAACAUAAAAUUCAUGUUCAUCAUGUGUUACAAAAACUUAGAGAUGUGAGAUUAUAUGUCAAGAUGAAAAAGUAUGUAUUCCACACUACUCAAGUUGACUUCUUAAGAUACAUCAUUUCAAACAAUGGUCUAAUGAUGGAUCUUGUAGAAUAGGCAAAUAAACUUUGUGGUAAGUUACUGGUUGGUUAUAGAUAACCUUGAAAAUUAGAUUGAUGGUUAGGCAGUUUAGUUGGUGAUAAUAGGUUGUUAGUAGAAUAAAUGGUUAAGAAUUCAAAGGAUUAUAACCUUUGGAAUUUGCUGGUCGAUGGUCCAUCUUUUGGUAGGAUAAAGAAGUUGAAGAAAGAGAGAUCGGGGCCAGAGUAUGAUAGUCGUAAGUCGGGGCAUGCUUGGUGCGACCUCUUUUUUAUUUCUUUGUUCUUGACGAGUAAUGGAUAGUUUCUGAAUACUGAGAAGUUAGUUUGGAGUGCCAGACUGUGAGUGUUGUAAGUUGAGAUAUUCAAUUUUGUAUGAUGAAUUGAGAAAUUGAAUACAAUAGAUAAGUUGGAAAUCAAUAAUUCAAUAUAUAUAAACCACAAAGAGAGUAUGUGGGAGAUGAACGGAUAAGAAUAUUGAAGUAUUGUUCAAUUGAUAGUCAUAAAAUGGAUUAUGAAUUGAAUUAAGACAGAAGUAGUAAGCCGUGGUAUUUUGUAGUUGAUAAUUGAUUUUAGAUAGCUAGAGUACAGUCAAUUGUGACACUAAUAGACCAGAUUCAUAUAACCAUUCUUUCCCCGUGUUCGAACCUACCUAUAUUAGUUCAAUUGCUUUAGUAUAUUAAAGCUUGAACACAACGAGAACAAUAUUUUGGCACAGCUGCCGAGGAAAUGAUAAUAAUAUAAAAUGUUAGAAAUUGAUUGUAUGGGAGAUGGAAUUAUAUGUUGAAUAGGAACCUGAGAAGAACCAAUUUUAGGGUUACAAAUAUGUAAGUUAUAAUUUAAGGCAGUAUUGAUUUUGUAAAGAAGAAUGAAAGAUUAUGAGUAAUAAUCAUGAAAGAGAGGAUUAUCAAAGAAUUAAGUGAGAAGCGAAAGAAAGUCAAGAGCGAUGUUGUAGUAUAAAUGUUUAUAGUAUGUAAAAAUUAGUUAGAACACAUUAAAUAUUAAUAAAUCUAAAUGUAUGUUAGAGUGGAUAAUAGAUUAAAUUAAAAAGAGUUGGUAUGAAAAAACUUUAUUUUGUUUUCCUUACUUAGUUUGAUUAUAGUAUAUAAAAGUUAUAGAACCUUAAUGUUAAGUAUGAAGCCUUGAGAGGAGAUAGGGGCCUAAAGAUGAAGAUUUAAACUAAUAGGAGGUUAAUUGGGAGGGAUGAAACCAAGGCAUGGUUGAAUGAAAGUAGAAAUAAGGAUCUUCAUCCCCAUUGGUCGAAAUCCAUACCCAAUGGGCUUUUAGGAGGCUGCCCGCGACCUAGAUAAGGGUUUCGGCGACUUCAAAGAGGCCAUUAGGAAAUCAGAGGCAAGGGUUGUAAAGUUUAGGGUUUUGGCUACAAUUUUUGUGCAAAUUUUAUAGGGUUUGGAGUUAGGGUGAAUAAGUUAUAGCCUUUUAAGUUAAGGUGUCAAUUUGAGACCUACUGUUACUCUUUUGAGUUUAAGAGGAGUCUUAUGGAAGCUUUUGGAGAUCGGAAGGUGCGGCUGGGAGAGCAACUUCAAGACAUACAUCUUUUGCGAAGAAGAUUUUGCAUUCGGAGUUUGUGUAAAGGAGUUAUAGGGAGUUAAAGACAGUGCAUUCAAAUCAAAGGCAGUAAGUGAGCGGUUUUGUUCAAAGUAGUGUUAGGAGCCAUUACUUGAGUUUUCGAACGAAAUUUUGGCUCAAACUUUCGGAGAAUGUAAAAAUUUGUGUUAAAAAGCUAUCUAUACAAGUUUCGUGGCAUUUAGACUUAUGUUUUGUGAGAUAUGAAGAAAAUUG
rnacentral:lncRNA from 1 species